GCAAAGAUGGCAAUUCUGGCUUGGGUAGGCUCGGAAUGUUGGGAAGGUGAGGCAAUUCAGGCUUAGGUAAUUCAGGCACUUCAGGCAAUGCUAACUUCAAAAGUUGGCGAGCUUCAACAGAAUUCUCGCCGAUCAUCAAGGACAGAGCAAGGACAAACAAUCCCAAAAUGUGCACAAACCUGUGAUAGUUUGCCAUGAUGGAAUUGACUAGCGAAAUGAAGAACUUCGAUGGUGAGGAGCUAUGAAUCUCAAGUGAAGAUGGUGGCGGUGUGUUUGAGGGAUGGCUUGGUUGGGGUUUUUAAAGAGGGGGACGUGGAGAUUAGGGAGAUUGCAAGUAUGUUUUGGUAGGAAAACUAGCAGAGUGUUAGCUCAACUUCGAAACCAAUUUCAUUUCCAUAUGUUCAACACGAUUUGAGCAAAUUAAACAAUCCCAGAAUGAUCUUGCCAACUCUAGGCUUCAAAAGCAUGUAAUGUAACCAUCAGCUGUAUUAUUUUGGUUAGAAAAAAGCCAAAAAGAAUCUUACUCUGCACAAGUAUGUUUUCUUUUCAAUUUUUUCUCACUAACUUAAUUUUUGACUUACAUUCAGUGGACCAAGUUGAAAAGGGUCAUUUAAACUUAUAUAAAAUAGAUUUAAAAUGGUUAAGAAAAACAAACCCAACUAGAUGUGGACUUUAAUGGUUCGGACCAAAUUCAUUUUAAUCAAACGAAAUAAAGAAUCGGCAAUAAAAAAUACAAGACAGGUCAUCUUGGGUUUUAAUGGAUUGGGAUUGAACUCAUUUGAUUCAAAUAAUAGAUUUCGAUUGAACUCAUUUGAUUCAAACUAAGAAAAUUAAGAGGAGAGGAGAGGGAUAUCACGUUUACUUUCCUUCCUUCUAUUUGCAUGUGGGAAAACACCAAAAAAGUUAUAAAUAUAUUGUAUUUGUGUCAAUUAUGUUAUAAAUAUAUUGCAUUGUGUCAAUUCAAUCUUAGGCCGUUUAAUUAGAUUAAUUUGUCCUAAAUAUUUUGUUGGUGCCAACUAGUUCACGUGGACGCUUGUCAUAUAGCUGACACUAACAUUAACAUUUUUAAUAAUUUUUAAUAUUUUUUAAUUUUUUAAUUUCUUUUUCUUCCUUUGAUUUGGCCAGCCGGAGGAGAAGGCAUUCGUGCCCUUGUUUGCAGCCAGCUGCGAGUAAGGGUGUAAGAAGUCCCUCGCCCAAGCCCCACCCAAAUUGACCCUCAAGAAUGGUUAGGCCCUAACCGGCCAAAAUGGAAGAAAGAAAAAUAUAAACAAUAAUUCACAAAAAUUAAAUUGAAAAAAUUAUCCAUGUAAGGACCAAUCAUGCUACAUAGGAUGGCUAGUUAGCAAUUUUCAGCCAAAUUUGAUCAAAUAAACUGAAUUGACACAAACGUAAAUAAUUUAAAAUAAAAUUGGUUCAAUUGAAAGAUUUAUGAUUGAAUUAGUCAUAAUACAAUAAGUAUAUAUAUAUUUUUUUAAAUUCUCCGCGCCAGAACAUAGAGGUGUCAAAAUGGGUCAUUAACCCAUUUAUGUUUAAAUGGGUCGUUAAUGGGUCAAGCCUAUUUCCUAAAGCACCUAUAAUGAGUUUUAAUGGGUUAAGACUGAGAUAUAUGAGUUAAGACCAAUUUAUCAACCCAUUGAAAAUGAAAUUAUUUAUUUUCACCCAAAAACUCACAAUUUCUAUCUUCUCUAUUUAACUUUACAAAAAUAUUUUUUUAAAAGAAACCAAAAUUAUAAUUAUUUUUUUAUUUUUUAUUUUUUCUUUCUUUUUCUUCAUCUAGUCGCUGGCACGGCGAUGGCCGGCGACCGGCCAAGCAAGAGCCUCGCCAAUCUGGCGAGACUCAAACUUGCCGGCGUCAAGCGAGGCUCGAGCUUGAGCUCGCUAGACGCCGACAAGCCUCAAGCUCGCCAGAUCUGGUGAGGCAAAGGCCCCGCUGACAUUCGGCGACGCUUGAGUCUUGCUAGAUCUAGCGAGGGGUGAGCUCAAGCUCGCUCGACGCCGGCAAGCCUCGAGCUUGCCAAAUCUGGCGAGGGGCGAGCUCAAGCUCGCUCAACGCCGGUGAGCCUCGAGCUCACCGGAUCCGGCAAGGUAGAGGCCUCACCAACAUCGACGAGCCAGGCGAGCUCCUGGUCGCCUGUGGCCGGCCGCCGGCUGUCGUCAUGGCCGGCGGCCGGCCAAAGAAGAAGAAGAACAAAAAAUAAAAUUUAAAAUUUAAAAUUAUAUUUAAAAAAUAAAAAUAAAUAAAAAAUUAAUUUAAAAAAUAAAAAAUAAUUAAAAUUCGAUUUUUUAAAAUAUAUUUUUAAAAAAUUAUAAAAUUUGUCCAUUAAAUUUGCGUUGUAUAAAAUUAUUUUAGCAAUACUAUAAUAUAUAUAAGCUUUCUUAAGUUUAGUUAAAUGGGUCGGGUAUGGAUAGGGUAUGAGUCAACAAAUUUGUAUUGUAAUAAUUGGUCAUAAACAGAUUAAAUGGGUCGAUUUGGGUUGGACCAUUUAUGACCCAACCAAAACCCGACUCGACCCACCUGUUUAACGGGUAUACCAGAACAUCAAUGACAAUGUUGCUACCGCCACUAGGCAACAACCAUCGGAUAAUAGAAGACCCAGCAAUGUUGUCAUAGUUAGCAUUAUCAACAUUCUCGUUGGUGUUAGCCUCAACAAAAGAACAAAGCACCAUGAUCGCGGUGCCCAUCAUGAACUUCAUUGUCAUUGGGUAUUAGGGAAAUCCCUUAGGAUGUUUUAAAAAAGAUAAAAUAAAUCAAAGGUUAAUAAUGUGUUUAAUAAGAAUUUUUUUUUUUUUUUUGUAAAAUAGGGAGGGGGGGGGAAAUGAAAGGAAAUGCUUGCAAGACCCCUCUUGUUUCCAAUUUCUCUUUUUUUUUUGUUGUAAAAUAGGGAAUUAUUUUCAACAAAAGUUAUUUUAGUCUAUUAAUUUCUUUUAUAUCCCUCAUAGCCUUUUAUUUUGACAUAUAUACAGGUCACUUAGUCUUUGUCUAGUCAUUUUGUCCGAGACGAUAAAUGUUUUGGAAUGAAGUUAUAAAAUCAUAAGUCGGGUUGGGGUGAUGUGAAAAUUAGUUCCAUGAGUUUCUCACCGUGCUUUGGAAACCGAAAUGAGAGAAAUCCUAUAAUCAUAUAUUGAUUAGUAGCUUCGUGGCAAUGAACAUAGUAGCAUUAAAUUCCCAUUUGCCAAUUCACAUGGACAACCAACUUAAUCCAUCAAUAAGUUCGCAUUUGGCAUUUGAUGGAUAUUGGAUCUCAUUUGGUUGAGCUGUAUUGCCAAUUUCAGGUGAAUCUCUUCCUUGUAAUUUCCCUAAUGGUUUCUAUAUGUCUACUGUCAGGUGAAGCCACCAUCAAAGAAUCUCCCCAAAAUUGUAAAACCCACUCCCAGACCUCUUCAACCAUCUUCUUCACCACCUCCCUCUCUUCUCUCAGACCUCAAGCUGCCCUCUCUAUCUCCAUUACCAACCCUGACUCUCUCUAUAACCGAUCAUGAUAAUCUGAUGAACUUUCUUAAGUCCAAACUCUCUUUCCCUCUCACACCCAGGAGUCUCCUCCACUUCCUCAAGUGCAAACUCCACCCCAACCCUCAUUUGACCCUCUAUGACUUUUAUAUAUUCAGUUGGGCCUCCACGGUUGACUCCUAUCGCCAUGACCACUCAACAUUUGAGUGGAUGGCUCGCACUCUCGCUAUUUCAAGCCGUUUUGAGCAACUCAAUUCGCUUCUCCACUUCAUGGCCUCAAACCCUUGCCCUUGCUCUGAUGGAAUUUUCUCAUGCCCCAGGACAGAGCCAAUCUUUCAAUUCUCAAUAGAAGCUUAUUGCAGAGCUCGGAAACGAGAGGAAAGCAGUGAUUGCUUUUGAGAGUAUGGAGAAGAUGAUUGAUGGCAGGCCGAGUGCGGUGAGUUAUAAUGCUUUGAUUCAUGGAUUUGUGAAAUGGGGUGACCAUGCCAGGGCUCUGACCAUCUAUGAUCAAAUGAUAAGGAACAGAGUCAAGCCUAAUGUGAUAACCUUUAAUAUCUUGAUUAGUAGUUAUUGUAGAAUAUUACAGUUUGGAUUGGCUUGGUGGUGUUUAAGGAGAUGAAGGAGAAGGGUUGCAGCCCAGAUGUGGUCAGUUUCAAUACUUUGAUCAGGGGGUUUUUUCGGGAGAGGAAGUUUGAGGAUGCGAUCGCAAUGGCUUAUGAGAUGAUCGAACUGGGGUGCCAGUUGUCGAGUGUGACUUGUGAGAUUUUGGUCAAUGGCCUCUGUACGGAAGGUAAAGUGGCUGAGGCAUGUGAAUUGCUGAUUGGUUUUCCAAGUAAAAGAGUGUUGCCUGAGGAGUAUGAUUAUUUUGGCCUUGUGGAAGCUUUGUGCAGUUUAGGCAAUUCUCAUAGAGCACUUGAUGUUGUUACUGAUCUGUGAAAGACGGGAAAUAUUCCAAGCUUGAUUGCUUGUACUACUUUGGUGAAAGGGUUGAGGAAGCAGAAGAAAAGGGAAGAUGCACUUGCUUUGAUGGAAAAUAUGCUUAAAGAAGGUAUUGUACCAGACAUUGUGACGUUUAAUUGUUUGCUUGAGGAUCUUUCUGAUAUAGGGAAGACUGUGGAAGCAAACAAAUUGAGGUUGUUGGCGCAAAGCAAGGGUUUGGAACCAGAUGGCAUGAUGGACAGGGUUCUGGUAUCUGGUUUUACGAGAGAAAGAAAGAGAAAGGAGGGCCAGAUUCUGGUAGAUGAGAUGUUAGACAAGGACUUUAUACCUGAUCUUGCAACGUACAAUAGAUUGAUUGAUGGACUUUCAAACUCAAAAAUUACUUCUAGGAAGAAAGGUUGAAGAUGGGUUAGGAUCUUAUUCAUUUCAACUUGGUUUCUGGAAUGCUGGCAUCUGUUUGCAAACACCCUCAUGCUUUGUGCUUGGUUUGCCAAUCAGUUUUAUCACUUUGGGACAAAGUGGGUUUAUGGCUAUGUUUCAGAUGGUUGAGGACAAUGUACAGCCUGGGAGCGAACAGAACAGAUACUGGUACGUGCACAAAACAACGAGUGGAAAGGAACGGAAACUUCGCAUUGAGUUGUACGAAUUGUAAAGCCAGGAGAGCAGAUUGUGAUGCUCAGCAAGAGAUGAUGCGGAUAAGUAGUGCCCAGACGACAUCUAGGAGGUAUGAAUCAUUGUAACGGUGAUAAGCAUUAAUCCUAAGAUAUGAGGGAGUUGGAAAGUUUGAGUGACUGAGAAUAGUUUAUUUGGAUUAUGUUUGUAUAUAGACGUGAUUAAUAAUGAUACCAAUGAGCGUGUAUAUUAUAAAAGCUGCAGAAGAUCAACAUUGAAUUUUCUGGCAGAUCUCAAACUGACACCGAUUAAUCUAAUGAGGAAAAGCUUAGGGUAGAAAAUUCAUGCAAAUUCUGAAUUGGGCUCUGCUAUAUAUAUAUGAUAUAACUUGUGUGAGAUGGACCCUGGCAAAGAGAUUUCUUAGGAUUGAAAGUAAUGCUGAAAAGAGAAAGCAAGAGCCAAAGCUGUUAAAACAAAGUAUAAAAUCAUAAACUAUCAGGUUGGCAAAGCUGUCAAGUACUCGAUGUUGAUAGAACAAAUUAGGCACUUUACAUUUGGUUUGGUGGUGACACUGCCCUAAUAAUGCCCUUUUUCUGUGCUCCUCAUCGAUGAAUCGGUUGAUGAGAAAAAUAAUCCCCUAACUUCAUAAAUUCGGUAAGACAAAAACUCCAUGAGUGGCUCAAGUAUAAGAUUGUUUGAACUUGAUGAUAUAAUCGGCAUGCCUUAUCCAUGCAUACAUAUCUUUAGUGUGUGCAAGUGCUGCCAUUAAACUUUAGUUUUACAUUUUAUUAAAUGUAACACCAUAAAAAAGUUUUAUCUUGCUAAAAAGCUCUGGACCCUCUAGAUUACCAUAUUAAGACGACUCGUUUCAACUUUUUAACAGAGGAUAGAUUCAAAUCACGGCACUUGUUUAGGAUUUUUCUUUAUGAGACGAAAAUUAGUAUUUUGGAUUUUUGAUAGGCUAAAUUUUUGGAGUAAAUGUAUCAUGAGAGCACAAUUUUUUUUUUGUUUUUGGGGGAGGGGGGUUGGGUUUUGAGACGAAAAUUAGUUUGAGGUACAUGUAUCGUAGGAUACGAAUUUGGGAUUUUUAGUCAUAUUAACCCUUGGCAUAAUGAUAUAUACAUAUAUAUAUUUAUGUAAUUUUGGAUGUCAAACACCAAAUUUAUCCUUCUUUAUGAUUUCUUAAAGUAAAUCUACAUAACAAACAUCACUUCAUAUCACAAACUGUCAUAAUCAAGUACAUGUAUAGGAUCCGAGGCAUGCUCAGAUCAUUACAAUAGACAGAGACAACAUUAGUGAAUCACAUGAUAGUGUAACCCAACAGCGAACUCGCUACAUAGCUUCAAGGAGUAGUAGUGGAAACAGACAUGUCUUUCGGAAUUGUGGGAACGACUGGUAGUGUUGGCUUAGGGAAAUCGAGGAGAUGAGGUAGUUCGGGCACUUUUGGUAAUUCUGGCUUCGGUAUUGCUGUUAAUUCUGGCUUGGGCAAUUCAGGAAGCGAUGGCAAUUCGACUUUUGGCAAAGAUGGCAAUUCGACUUUUGGCAAAGAUGGCAAUUCAGGCUUUGGCAGUUCAGGGAGCGGCGGCAAUUCGGCUUUUGGUAGAGCUGGCAGUUCUGGCUUAGGCAAGCUCACAAUGUCGGGAAGAUGAGGCAAUUCAGGUUUGGGCAGUUCAGGCACUUCUGGUAAUUCUGGCUUCGGUAUUGUUGGUAAUUCAGGCUUUGGAAGUUCAGGAAUCGACGGCAAUUCAACUUUUGGCAAAGAUGGCAAUUCUGGCUUGGGUAGGCUCGGAAUGUUGGGAAGGUGAGGCAAUUCCGGCUUAGGUAAUUCAGGCACUUCAGGCAAUUCUGGCUUGGGCAGGCUCACAAUGUCGGGAAGAUGAGGCAAUUCGGGUUUGGGCAGUUCAGGCACUUCUGGUAAUUCUGGCUUUGGAAGUUCAGGAACCGACGGCAAUUCAACUUUUGGCAAAGAUGGCAAUUCUGGCUUGGGUAGGCUCGGAAUGUCGGGAAGGUGAGGCAAUUCAGGCUUAGGUAAUUCAGGCACUUCAGGCAAUGCUAACUCCAAAAGUUGGCGAGCUUUAACAGAAUUCUCGCCGAUCAUCAAGGACAGAGCAAGGACAAACAAUCCCAAAAUGUGCACAAACCUGUGAUAGUUUGCCAUGAUGGAAUUGACUAGCGAAAUGAAGAACUUCGAUGGUGAGGAGCUAUGAAUCUCAAGUGAAGAUGGUGGCGGUGUGUUUGAGGGAUGGCUUGGUUGGGGUUUUUAAAGAGGGGGACGUGGAGAUUAGGGAGAUUGCAAGUAUGUUUUGGUAGGAAAACUAGCAGAGUGUUAGCUCAACUUCGAAACCAAUUUCAUUUCCAUAUGUUCAACACGAUUUGAGCAAAUCAAACAAUCCCAGAAUGAUCUUGCCAACUCUAGGCUUCAAAAGCAUGUAAUGUAACCAUCAGCUGUAUUAUUUUGGUUAGAAAAAAGCCAAAAAGAAUCUUACUCUGCACAAGUAUGUUUUCUUUUCAAUUUUUUCUCACUAACUUAAUUUUUGACUUACAUUCAGUGGACCAAGUUGAAAAGGGUCACUUAAACUUAUAUAAAAUAGAUUUAAAAUGGUUAAGAAAAACAAACCCAACUAGAUGUGGAUUUUAUUGGUUCGGACCAAAUUCAUUUUAAUCAAACGAAAUAAAGAAUCGGCAAUAAAAAAUACAAGACAGGUCAUCUUGGGUUUCAAUGGAUUGGGAUUGAACUCAGUUGAUUAGAAUAAUGGAUUUCGAUUGAACUCAUUUGAUUCAAACUAAGAAAAUUUUGCGGAUAAAAAAGAGGAGUGGGAUAUCAUGGUUACUUUCCUCCUUCUAUUUGCAUGUGGGAAAACACCAAAAAAUGUUAUAAAUAUAUUGCAUUUGUGUCAAUUCAGUCUUAGGCCGUUUAAUUAGAUUAAUUUAGUCCAAAAAAUUUAAUUGAUGCCAACUAAUUCACGUGGAUGCCAGUUAUCUUAUGUGAUAUAAUCGACAUUAACAUUAACAUUUUUUUUAAUAAUUUUUAUUUUUAUUUUUAUUUUUUCUUUCUUUUUCUUCCUUUCAUUUGGCCAGCCGAAGGAGAGGGCAUUCGUGCCCUUGCUCACAGCCAGCCACAAGUAAGAGUGUGAGAAGUCCCUCGCCCAGGCCCAACCAAAUUGACCCUCAAGAACGGUUAGGCCCUAACCGGUCAAAAUGAAAGAAAGAAAAAUAUAAACAAUAAUUCAAAAAAAUUAAAUUGAAAAAAUUGUCCAUGUAAGCACCAAGCACCAAUCAUACUACAUAGGAUGGCUAGUUAGCAAUUUUCAACCAAAUUUGAUCAGAUAAACUGAAUUGACACAAAUGUAAAUAGUUUAAUAUAAAAUUGGUUCAAUAGAGAGAUUUAGGAUUGAAUUAGUCAUAAUACAAUAAGUAAAAAAAAAAUUAUUUAAAUUCUCCUUGCCAGAACAUCAAUGACAAUGUUGCUACUGCCGCUAGGCAAUAACCACCGGAUAAUUGAAGACCCAACAACGUUGUCAUAGUUGGCAUUAUCAACAUUCUCGUUGGUGUUAGCCUCAACAAAAGAACAAAGCACCAUGAUCGUGAUGCCCAUCAUGAGCUUCACUAUCGUCGGGUGUUUGGGAAAAUCCCUUAGGAUGUUUUAAAGAUAACAAAAUAAAUCAAAUGUUACUAACGUGUUUAAUAGGAAAUUAUUUUUUUGUAAAAUAGGGAGGGGGGAAAUGAAAGGAAAUGCUUGCAAGUCCCCUCUUGUUUCCUAUUGCUCUUAUUUAUUUAUUUUUUUGUAGAAUAGGGAAUUAUUUUCGACAAAAGUUAUUUUAGUCUAUUAAUUUCUUUUAUAUCCCUCAUAGCCUUUUAUUUUGACAUAUAUACAUGUCACUUAGUCUUUGUCUAGUCAUUUUGUCCGAGACGAUAAAUGUUUUGGAAUGAAGUUAUAAAAUCAUAAGUUGGGUUGGGGUGACGUGAAAAUUAGUUCAAUGAGUUUCUCACCGUGCUUUGGAAACCGAAAUGAGAGAAAUCCUAUAAUCAUAUAUUGAUUAGUAGCUUCGUGGCAAUGAACAUAGUAAGCAUUAAAUUCUCAUUUGCCAAUUCACAUGGACAACCAACUUAAUCCAUCAAUAAGGUCGCAUUUGGCAUUUGAUGGAUAUAUAUAUAUAUAUAUAUAUAUAUAUAUAUAUAUAUAUUAACAUAAACCCAUAUUGUAUUAAUACGAGUGUCCCAUACAACCAGCAGCUAUAGCAUCCGCGCUUAACAGGUUCAAGAGAGGAGGGGGCGAAAGAAGGGCCCGAUUACAAGUCAAACUAUUGCUAUUAUGGGCCUUACAGGCCUAGUCGGCUACCACGUUUGCUUCCCUUCGACAGAACCCUAGCGUUAGAUUGGGAAAUAGGGUUAACAGGAAUGCUGCCUAUGAGAAGAGAGAGCGAUCCGUCCAUGGUGGCAGUGUCCGGCUAUUCAACGUUUCCACCAGAGUGAUAUUGUCUGAUUCGAUGAUUAUCGAUGUGUUUUGGAGCCCCCGUUGCAGAAGAUGGCGGAGUGAGAAGGAUAAGGCUUGGAUCUCAACCUGCAUAGCCGAGGACGCAACAACCCCUAUGGAGAAACCAUCUGUAAGUCGGCCUUGAUGAUCCCUGCAAAUACAAGCUAUAUUGCCAUGAUUACUUCCCUGAUGAUAUGAUCCGUCUAUAUUAACCUUCAGAACCCUGGGAUUUGGGGGAUGCCAGAGAUGAGUUUUAUUUUUGACCGAGAACUCUUGUUGCGUGCAGGAAGCCGAGGACAACCGAUCUACCUGAGCGUGAUUUAGUGCCGCUUCUACCACCUGGGUCGGAUUAGGAGAAGUUCCUAUGAAAAUGAAGCCAUUCCGACCUCGUCAGAUUUGCCACAAAACAUGAGAAAUAAACGCCAGACGAGGUAAUCGGUUUCCUUCCCCGACCGUGGACACGAUCCACGAGUCUAGACGCUGAAUAUUGUUGGGAAUGAUUGAGAUCCCGAUCUGGGAAUGAUUCCACACCUGAUGAGUCCACAAACAGAGUAAGAACAUAUGUUCUAAGGUUUCUGGAACCUGAUUUUUACAUAGUUAGCAGCAGGGAUUUUCUAAUAUAUGUCUACGAUGCAGGUUGUCUCUCGUCGCCAAGGAAUUGCUACAGAUGGACCAGAGGAAAACACAGAGUUUGGGUGCAGCAGGCAUUUUCCAGAUAUUGCGCCAUAACUAGGUAGGGAUUUGGUAUGAUGUUGAAGCACCAGAAUUUGGGAUACCUGAUUUUGUCUGAAUAAUUGCAUGAUAUGCUGAUUUGACUGUAAAUGUUCCUUGCUUAGUAGCUGUCCAUAUAAGUGCAUCUGAAGUGAAGUUAGGCCUGAGUUGGAUGUCUGUUAUAUGUUGAAUGAUUGACAAGUCGAAAAAUCUGUACAAUAAACUGGUAGCCUGAUCAAUAAGAUCAGCUACUAGUAGAGGUUCUUCUGGGGCUUUUGGUCCACCUAGAAUGCCCAUUGGGAGCCAUCUGUCUUCUCUAAUGUUGAUGCAUUUGCCAUCUCCCACUGACCAACUAACAUUUGGUAAAAUAGCAUCCCUCCCGCUCAAGAGGCUCUGCCAGCCCCAUGAUGGGCGAGAGCCCUUGUUAGCUUUUAAAAAGGUGGAUGAGUGAAAAUAUAAACCUCUAAAAAACUUGCCCCAUAAAGAUAAGGGUUGAUGAAUUAGACGCCAUGCUUGCUUACCGAGCAUGGCUUAAUUAAAACUCAUCAAAUCUCUGAAGCCCAAUCCCCCUAAUUCCUUUCGGUUCUGUAAAGUUUUCCAACUCUGCCAAUGAAUUCUAGAUCUGCUUGUAUCAUUACUCCACCAAAAUUUAGCCAUUCUCUAUUCAAUAACUUUACAUAAUGAGAUAGGAUUCUUAAAAAUAGACUUGGCGUAUUGUGGAAUAGAUUGAAUGACAGUCUUUAGCAGAACUUCUUUCCCUCCCUUAGAAAUUAGUUUCUCCUUCCACCCUUCUAAUUUCGAUUGAACUCUACUCAACAGCCAAGAAAACAUAUCCCUUUUAGAUCUUCCCCAAUCUGUAGGUAUCCCUAAAUACUUCCCACAUCGCUGUAAAACAGGUACCCUUAAUUCCCUAGCCAAAUUUUCCUGGAGUGAUAGUUUGUCCAGAAGCCAGGCAAUACUGGUUUAGAAUAUUAGAUAGGUUUUGACACUCCAGCAAGGUACCAUCAAGAAAGAACACAGCAUCAUCAGCAAAAAAGAGAUGUGAUAAAGUAGGACACCAUUGAUUCAACUUAAUGCCUUUGAGUAAGCCCAUAUCCAUAGCAUUUCUAAUUAGGAAGGAUAAGAGAUUGGCUAUAAGGAUAAACAAGUAAGGGGAUAAGGGAUCUCCUUGCCUCAUCCCUCGAGUUGGGUGAAAAAUCGGUAAAUACUCACCAUUCAUUUUGACAGAGAAAGAUGUAGUUGAAAUGCAGCAUAAUUAGGUGGACCCAAUGAGAAUGAAAGCCUAAUCGAAGUAAAUAAUCUUGAAGAAAGUCCCAUUCAACACGGUCAUAAGCUUUAUGCAUAUCUAACUUAAGAAUCGCUUUAAAAUGACGCCUCUGUUUCCUGGUCUUAAGCUGAUGAAUGACUUCCUGUACGAUGAGAACAUUGUCCUGAAUCUAUCUUCCAGCAACAAAAGCACUUUGUUCCUCAGUAAUCAGCGUAGGCAGCAUGGAUUUUAAUCUAUUAGCUAGUACUUUAGAGAAAAUCUUAUAGGCAUAGUUGCACAAGCUAAUAGGACGAUACUGAUCUAAGCUUUCUGGGUUUAGGGUUUUGGGGAUUAGGGUUAUAGCGGUUCUGUUUAAAGGUAAAGGUAAUGAUCCAGAAGUAAAGAAUUGCUGAACUGCUCUGUGAAUGUCCACCUUAAGAACUUCCCAAUGCGAUUGAUAAAAUAGUCCAUUUAAACCAUCUGGGCCUAGUGCCUUUGAAGCACCUAAUUGAAAUGUGGCCACUUUAACUUCUUCGAGAGUGGGUUGCACGAGAAGUGUUGCAUUCAUGUCUGCAUCAACCAUCUGUGGACACUGUUGUAAAAUCUGUGCAUAAUAGCGAGGGCCUGAAGUGGUAUAUAGCUGUGAAAAAUAAUCUGUAGUCAGUUCUUUGAUCUGUCCAGUAUCUCGAACCCAUUGCUGAUGUUCAUCCCUCAAUAUAGUAAUUUGAUUACAUUGUCUUCUUUGAAGUGUGGUAGCAUGAAAGAACUUAGUAUUGCGGUAUCCCCACUUUAACCAGUUUAUCCUAGAUCGCAUCGCCCAAAAUUGCUCUUCCCUCUGCCGUGCUUUCUGAAGUUCUAUUUUUAUCAUUUGUUGCCGAGAUUGAUUCAUUAAAGUAGGAUGCUGAUUUGUCAAAGUUUGUAACUGGUGCUCUAAUUCCAUUGCAUGUUGCCUGUUGUGGGAGAAAUUCUGGCGACUCCAAGUGGAUAAGACUGCAGCAACCGCGUGAAGCUUGACUAGGAGAGGAGAGUCCUGCCUCGAGACAAAGUGCUAAGAGGUUUCAAUGAAUGAAUGACAUCCCGAGUCCUGAUUCCAGAAAGCUUCAAAGGUAAAGUGUCUCUUUCGUCGACCCGAAUAAGGUUUUGUAUCUAAAAAAAUUGGGCUAUGAUUUGAUCCCACUGCAGGGAGAGCCAGCACUUGAGCAUUCGGGUACGUGACACGCCAUUCAGCAGUGCAUACAUCUCGAUCAAGACGCUCCUUCACCAAGGCUUCCCCAUCACAGUUAUUGGACCGAGUGAAAGCACAACCAUGAGAAGGUAGAUCCAACAAGCAGCAAUCAUUAAGGACAUCUCGAAAUGAAGAGAGGCGGUAAGAGUCCGCAGGCCGAGAUCCCAUUUUCUCCCAACGGUGAAGAAUUUCAUUAAAAUCGCCAAGGCACACCCAAGGUAAGACAUUAUAACUACCAAAUUGUCACAAGGUUUGCCAAAGAUGCUGACGGUCAUGAAAAACUGCAGGGGCAUGAAUGCAAGUAAUCCUCAUAGAUCUGGCCUCCGAAAUUUCCAGACAAAGAAAAUCCAAAAAAUGAGGAUUGGAGGAGAAGUCAGAUAGCGAGAUCCCAGCAUUCCAAAAAAGAGCUAAGCCACCUGCAGAGCCAACAGGGCUGAACAGCUUGUGGUGCAAAAAACGGAAGGAACGUUUAAGGCAAAGGAGUACUUCAUCACCAUUCUUCGUUUCCAUAAAAAAUAAUAGGUUAGGCUUUUCUUUAGCCAAAAGGGCUUUUAAGGAUAGGACUGUCAGGGGAUUGCCCAAACCCUGACAGUUCUAAUUGAUAAUUUUCAUUGUUGUUCUGGUGGCUGUUUAGGGCCAGCCACCGUCGCCCACGAACCAUCUUCAAACGCCUCUACAAUUGGCGUAUCCAACAAUAAGGAACCAUCAUAAACUCCUAGUGGCCCUUCAGGUAAGUCAUAUGGAGUAUAGUGUCUCGGUUUCUUAGUAGGACCUUUUUUGAUAUUCUGAUGCACACAUUUGCCUUUUUUGACUUGAGGAGCUGAUAUGGGCAAUUGUACUCCUUUAAGCUUCUCUGAUGCUAGAAUUAGAGCGGUCGUGAGAUUUUGUUGCACUGAAGGAGUGAAGCCCAAGGUAUCAGUACCAGCCUGUGGUGUGGUUGGAGUAGCCUUUUGUGGAGAGGAGGUUGUUUUAGGAAUAGGUGGUAGUAGAAGAGGGAGAGGGCGAAUAUCAGUGGGAGGUGUUUCAAGUAUGGUUUCCUCUCGCUCCUCCUCCAUAAUUGAUUCUCCAUAGUAACACUUCCAGUAAGGGCUGUACUGUUGAACUUCAACUUUUAACCAAGGACCGUAAGGAGUUGUUCCAGUAUUGGUGAUCAUAUUCUCCUCAAAAGGGAUGGUGGGGCAAGAGUCAGUAUAAUGGCCCAAUCGUCCACAAGAGUAACUGUAAUGAGGUAACCGUUCAUACCAAAAUUCCAACCACAGAGUUUGAUUUUUGAAUUUAAUUAGUCGACCUACCUUCAAAGGUUCAAAUAAAUUCAGCUGUACUCUAGCGCGGCCUACUUUCAGGGUGGAACCAGUAGCAAAGUCAGACUUAACUUGCAGAACAGGGCCUAUCAGACUAACAGCCUUACGGAUCAUAUCAUCGGUACAACAUUCUAAAGGCAGCCCAAUUACCUGAACCCAGAAUGCAAAGGUAGAGAAGUCAUAAUAGUGCAGAGGGGUAUUGGCUACCCAGGGUUUAAAAUUUAUAAGGUGUCCCGAGAAUUGUCAAGGGCCUGUGUCUAGAAUUCUCUGUUUUUCAGCUUGAGACCUAAAUUUGCUAAAUAAAUUCCCGCUUCUGUCUGUAGGAUUUCGCUUGGUCGGACCUCCAUGCCCUCUUCAAGACUGCCUGGGAAAUUGAAGGAAAGGGUUGGAUGGAACUUUACCAAUUAACAGUAGCUUACACUCCUCGACUGCGCCAGGUGCGGGUUCAACUUGCCAUUCUUCAAUUGCUUUUCUAUGCAUAAUCGGCCCAAUUUUUGACAAAGUGCAGCAACUCGAGAUGCAUCGGGAUCAUCUUCGCUAGCCAUUGAUGAAAUGACGGAUUGCCUUAAUAGAUGAAGGUCGUGAACAUAAAAAUAUCGACGUGCAAAAGGAGAAACGGAAGAACCCCAGAGGUGGAGAAAAGAAAACCAGCAAAACAAUCGCUGGCGAGAUGUGUAUGGGUUAACUAAUUAAACCUGUGAAGGAAAGGAGAGAGGAAGAUGAUGAAGAAUUGCCAUUCGCAUGGCGAUAGUAAGAUACUGGAGACUGAAGACAAAAGGGUUUAACAGAGAAGAAGAACUCUAACCAGUAGAUAGAGAGGAAACUCGACAAGACGAGAGGGUAAGUGCAUUUGAUGGAUAUUGGAUCUCAUUUGGUUGAGCUGUAUUGCCAAUUUCAAGUGAAUCUCUUCCUUGUAAUUUCCUUAAUGGUUUCUAUGUGUCUACUGUCAGGUGAAGCCACCAUCGAAGAAUCUCCCUCAAAUUAUUAAACAUACUCCCAGACCUCUUCGACCAUCUUCUUCACCACCUCCCUCUCAUCUCUCAAACCUCAAGCUGCCCUCUCUAUCUCCAUUACCAACCCUGACUCUCUCUAUAAUCAAUCAUGAUAAUCUGAUGAACUUUCUUAAGUCCAAACUCUCUUUCCCUCUCACACCCAGGAGUCUCCUCCACUUCCUCAAGUGCAAACUCCACCCCAACCCUCAUUUGACCCUCUAUGACUUUUAUAUAUUCAGUUGGGCCUCCAUGAUUGACUCCUAUCGCCAUGACCACUCAACAUUUGAGUGGAUGGCUCGCACUCUCACAAUGUCAAGCCGUUUCGAGCAACUCAAUUCGCUUCUCCAGUUCAUGGCCUCAAACCCUUGCCCUUGCUCUGAUGGAAUUUUCUCAUGCCCCAGGACAGAGCCAAUUUUUCAAUUCUCAAUAGAAGCUUAUUGUAGAGCUCGGAAACCAGAGGAAGCAGUGAUUGCUUUCGAGAAUAUGGAGAAGAUGAUCGAUGGCGAGCCGAGUGCGAUGAGUUAUAAUGCUUUGAUUCAUGGAUUUGUGAAAUGGGGUGACCAUGCCAGGGCUUUGGCCAUCUAUGAUCAAAUGAUAAGGAACAGAGUCAAGCGUAAUGUGAUAACCUUUAAUAUCUUGAUUAGUAGUUAUAGUAGAAAUUUACAGUUUGGAUUGGCUUUGGAGGUGUUUAAGGAGAUGAAGGAGAAGGGUUGCAGCCCAGAUGUGGUCAGUUUCAAUACUUUGAUUAAGGGGUUUUUUCGGGAGAGGAAGUUUGAGGAUGCGAUCGCAAUGGCUUAUGAGAUGAUCGAACUGGGUGUUAGCCGGGUUCACACCUAUGUGGAGGAGGCCUAAUGAGUUGGAAGCCUAAAAAGGGCUUGAACCCAUAUGAUAAGUUAUAUGAGGAAAUAGGGUUUCUCACUAUCUAUAUAAAGAGGUAGCCGCAAAAAAGGAAAAGAAAAAGAGAAAGCAGAAAAUUUGGGGUUUUAGGCAAUAUCUGAUUUACAUCAAGCUGGUGUCGGAGGUCGAUUCGUGGUCCAAUUGAGCUAAAAUGUUGUCAGCAUGUUCAUGGCGCAAUUUUAUUGAAUCUGAACGGUUUGAUUUUCGUUUGAAGUUCCCUACAUCAGGUUUUUUAUGGAUUGAUCAAAACUUGCGUUUUUUGUCAGAUUUAUCCUUGAUCUCUUGUGAAAUUCAUGUGUAUUGCAAGAAUUAUGUUCUUGAGAUCUUUGCUACUAUGUACCUCUAGUAUUUGCUAGAGAAGAACAAUUUUGUUGAUAGUGAAGAAUUUCGGGUGGACUUCGGUCUCGUGGUUUUUUAUCUCCUCACAUCGAGGAGGUUUUCCACGUAAAAAUCAUCUUGUGUUCACGUGUUUGGUAUUUAUUUUACUCUACUAUAUCGAUUUCUAUUAGGGUUACACAAGAUGGGAGAUUAUUUUAUUCCGCUGCAUUGAUUCGAUAUUGUUCGAAUUAUUACCGUUCUCCCAUCAGAGUGGUAUCAAAGCAUCUGGUUAUUGCUUGAUUUUUCUGCCUUGUGUUAAAUAAAGGAAACGAAUAUGAGUGGAAUGGUUACAUUGAAUGGUUCGAAUUAUCAUAUUUGGAAAUGGAAGAUGGAAGAUCUUUUAUAUGUUAAAGAUUUUUAUUUGCCUGUAUUUGCUGAGGAGAAACCAGAGAAUAAAACUGAUGCUGAAUUGUCUAUAUUUCAUUGUCAAGUGUGUGGUUAUAUUAGGCAGUGGGUAGAUGAUAAUGUUUUAAACCAUAUUAUUGAAGAAACACAUGCACACAGUUUAUGGGAUAAGCUCGAACAGUUAUAUGCUCGAUACACUGGGAAUAAUAAGUUAUUUUUGAUAAAACAUAUGAUGGCUUUGAGAUAUCAUGAUGGUACUCAUUUGAUUGAUCAUUUAAAUUAUUUUCAAGGAAUUAUAAAUCAGUUGGGUGCGAUGGGAAUCAAGUUUGAUGAUAAGAUACAAGCACUAUGAUUGCUUGGUACUUUGCCGGACUCCUAGGAGACGUUCCAAACAUCUUUGUCUAAUUUUGCCCUGAACGGUACGAUUACCAUGGAUUUGGCCAAGAGUAGUAUUUUGAAUGAAGAGAUGAGAAGGAAGAUACAAGGAUCGUCAUCUUCACAUUCUGAUGCCUUGGUUGUUGAGAAAAGGGAGAGAAGUGAAUCUCGAGGUUCGAGAAAUAGAGAUAAAAGUCGAGAUAAAAGCAGAGGUAAGUAUAAUAAAUUUGCUAAUGUUGAGUGUCAUUAUUGUCAUCAAAAGGGACAUAUUCAGAGGUUUUGUCGCCAGUUAAAAAGGGAGAAACAAAAGGAGAAAGGUAAAGAAAAGACAAGUGAUAAUGAUAGUGAUGACAAUUGUGUCGCUACACUUAACGAAGAUUUUCUCACUAUUUUUUAUGGUGAUGUGGUGAAUUUUGUAUCUCAUGAGACUAGUUGGGUAAUUGAUAGUGGUGCAUCCGUUCAUGCUACGUCUCGUAGGGAUUUCUUUACAUCAUACAGGUCAGGUGACUUCAGAUUUAUGAAGAUGGGAAACAAUGGACUAGCUCAAGCUGUAGGCAUCGCUAAUAUGUGCCUAGAAACUAGCAAUGACACAAGGUUAGUUUUGAGUAAUAUUAAGCAUAUACCUAAUAUCCGCUUGAAUUUGAUUUCUACAAGCAAGUUGGAUGAUGAGGGAUAUUGCAGCACCUUCAGUAAUGGUCAAUGAAAACUCACCAAAGGUUCUCUUGUUGUGGCUAGAGGUGAAAAAUAUUCUUCGUUGUACAUUAUGCAGGCAAAGUUAUCCACAGACAAAAUUAAUGCAGUAGACAGCGAAGAUGCAGCUGAAUUAUGGCAUAAGAGGCUCAGUCACAUCAGUGAGAAGGGUUUGUCAAUAUUGGCCAAGAAGAAGCUCCUUUUAGGAUUGAAAAGUUCAGCGCUAAAGAAGGGUGCUCACUGUUUAGCGGGAAAACAUAACAGAGUUGCAUUUAAAAGCUCCCCUCCUUUAAGAAAGUCAGGUAUACUAGAAUUAGUGUAUUAUGAUGUUUGCGGUCCUAUGAAAACAAAAUCACUUGGUGGCUCUCUUUAUUUUGUUACCUUCGUAGAUUUUUUUCAAGGAAAAUUUGGAUUUAUACCUUGAAAACUAAAGAUCAAGUGUUAGAUGCUUUUAAGCAAUUUUAGGUUUCAGUUGAGAGACAGACUGGAAAGAAAUUGAAAUGCAUCAGAACUAAUAACGGGAGAGUGUAUAUUGGACCUUUUAAUGAAUAUUGCAGACAACAAGGUAUUCGACAUCAAAAGACACCUCCCAAGACGCCUCAGUUAAAUGGCUUAGCUGAGAGAAUGAACAGAACACUGGUUGAAAGGAUAAGAUGCUUACUUUCACAGUCAAAGCUACCUGGAUCCUUUUGGAAUGAGGCUUUAAGUACAGUUGUGCAUGUAUUAAAUCUUACUCCAUGCGUUCCUUUAGAGUUUGAUAUUCAUAAUAGAGUUUGGACAGGCAAAGAUAUUUCUUAUGAUUAUUUGCGUGUCUUUGGGUGCAAAGCAUUUGUGCAUAUUCCCAAAGAUGAGAGGUCUAAACUUGAUGUGAAAACACGACAGUGCAUAUUUAUUGGUUAUGGACAGAAUAUGCUUGGCUCCAAAUUUUAUGAUCCGCUUGAAAAGAAAAUUGUAAGAAGCAGAGACAUUGUGUUUAUGGAAGAUCAAACAAUAGAGGAUAUUGAGAAAGCAGAGAUGAUUUCAGCACUACAAGUUAGUGAUAAUAUGGUUGAUUUAAAUCCAGUUCCUCUUACAAAUAUUCCUACACAGUUGAUGAAGAGCAGCAGGAAGUCAAUGUUCCAAAUAACGCACAUGUUCCUGAACAUGUUGAAAUAGAUAAUACUAUUCCUGAACCAGAGGCUCAAUUAGAUGUUCCACUGGAUGUUCCAGUCCAAAGAUCUGUUAGAGACCAACGACCUUUCACUAGGUAUUCUGAGGAUGAGUAUGUAUUAUUGACUGAUGUAGAUGAACUAGAGUGCUAUGCAAAAGCAAUAAAAGAUGAGUACAAAAACAAUUGGUUCGAUGCUAUGCGAGAUGAGAUGCGGUCACUUUAUGAUAAUCAAAAUUUUGAGUUAGUGAAGUUAUUUAAAGGUAAAAGAGCUUUGAAGAACAAGUGAGUAUAUAGGUUGAAGCAAGAUGAACAUACUUUACAACUACGGUACAAAGCUAGAUUGGUUGUUAAGGGAUUCGGUCAUAGAAAGGGUAUUGAUUUUGAUGAUAUAUUUUCUCCGGUAGUAAAAAUGUCUUCUAUCCGUGCGGUACUAGGCUUAGCAGCUAGCCUAGAUUUGGAAAUUGAACAAAUUGAUGUUAAAACAACCUUCCUACAUGGUGACUUGGAGGAAGAGAUAUACAUGGAACAACAUGAGGGUUUUAAAGUGAAAGGGAAAGAGGAUUAUGUGUGCAAAUUGAAUAAAAGUCUCUGUAGCCUAAAACAAGUACCAAGGCAGUGGUAUAAGAAAUUUGUGUCAGUUAUGACAAAACAGGGCUAUAAGAAGACUUCCUCGGAUAACUGUGUGUUUGUUGAAAAAUUUUCUGAUGAUGACUUUAUUAUUCUCUUGCUUUAUGUUGAUGAUAUACUAAUUGUUGGCAGGAAUGCUUCAAGAAUUGAGUUAUUGAAGAAACGGUUGAGCAAGUCUUUUGCCACGAAAGACUUGAGCUCGGCAAAGCAGAUUCUUGGCAUUAGAAUUACCCGAGAUAAAGAUGCUAAGAAGUUAUUUUUGUCGCAAGAGAAAUAUAUCGAGAAGAUCCUUCAGAAAUUUUACAUGGACAAGACUAAAGUGAUUAGUACUCCUCUUGCUACCCACUUUAAGUUAAAUAUGAAGCAAAGUCCUACGACUGAUAAAUAAAAGAAAGAUAUGGAAAGUGUUCCAUAUGCCUCAGCUGUAGGAAGCUUAAUGUAUGCGAUGGUAUGUACACGCCCAGACUUGGCGCACACAGUUGGCGUUGUUAGUCGCUAUUUGUCAAAUCCAGGCAAAGAACACUGGAAUGCAGUGAAGUGAAUUAUGAGGUAUCUUCGGGGAACUUCAAAUUUGAAACUCAGUUUCGGGACCGGGAAGCUUGAGUUAGUUGGAUACACAGAUUCUGACUUGGCAUGAGAUAUUGAUACUCGUAAAUCUACUUCUGGUUAUUUGAUUUCUUUUGUGAGUGGAGCUGUGUCAUGGAAGUCCAGAUUGCAGAAGUAUGUUGCACUUUCUACAAUCGAAGCUAAAUUUAUUGCAGCGACUGAAGCUAGUAAAGAGAUGCUAUGAAUGAAGAAGUUCUUAGAAGAACUUGGGUUCAAGCAAAAGAGGUAUGUGCUAUUUUGUGAUAAUCAAAGCGCAAUUCAUCUUGGUAAGAAUUCAUCUUUUCAUUCUAGAUCAAAACAUAUUGAUGUUAGAUAUCAUUGGAUAAGGGAUGUUCUAGAUGAAAAGUUAUUGGAACUUGAGAAAAUUCAUACGGAUCAUAAUGACUCUGAUAUGAUGACAAAGACUCUACCAAAAAAGAAACUUGAACAUUGCCAAUUAAUAGCAAGGAUGGUGAAUCCCUCCACAUAUGUCGUGAGAGGGAGAUUUGUUAGCUGGGUUCACUCCUAUGUGGAGGAGGCCCAAUGAGUUGCAAGUCCAAAAAGGGCUUGAGCCCAUAUGAUAAGUUAUACGAGAAAAUAGGAUUUCUCACUAUAUAUAUAAAGAGGUAGCCGCAAAAAUGGAAAAGAAAAAGAGAAAGCAGAAAAUCUGGGGUUUAGGGCAAUAUCUAAUUUACAUCAAGCUGGCGUCAGAGGUUGAUUCGUGGUCCGAUUGAGCUGAAAUUUUGUCAGCAUGUUCGUGGCGCAAGUUUAUCAAAUCUAAACCGUUUGAUUUUCGUUUGAAGCUCCCUAUAUAAGGUUUUUCAUGGAUUGAUCAAAACCUGCGUUUUUUGUCAGAUUUAUCCUUGAUCUCUUAUAAAGUUCAUGUGUAUUGCCAAGAAUUAUGUUCUUGAGAUAUUUGCUGCUAUAUACCUCUAGUAUUUGCUAGAGAAGAACAAUUUUGUUGAUAGUGAAGAAUUUCGGGUGAACUCCGGUCCCGUGGUUUUUUAUCUCCUCACAUUGAUGAGGUUUUCCACGUAAAAAUCAUCUUGUGUUUAUGUGUUUGGUAUUUAUUUUACUUUGCUAUAUCGAUUUCUAUUAGGUUUACACAAGAUGGGAGAUUAUUUUAUUCCGCUGUAUUGAUUCGGUAUUGUUCGAAUUAUCACCAUUCUCCCAUCACUGGGGUGCUAGUUGUCAAGUGCGACUUGUGAGAUUUUGGUGGAUGGCCUAUCUAGGGAAGGUAAAGUGGCUGAGGCAUGUGAAUUGUUGAUUGGUUUUUCAAGUAAAAGAGUGUUGCCCUGAGGAGUAUGAUUAUUUUGGCCUUGUGGAAGCUUUGUGCAGUUCAAGCAAUUCUCAUAGAGCAUUUGAUGUUAUUACUGAUCUGUGGAAGACGGGGAAUAUUCCAAGCUUGAUUGCUUGUACUGCUUUGGUGGAAGGAUUGAGGAAGCAGAAGACAAGGGAAGAAGCACUUGCUUUGAUGGAAAAUAUGCUUAAAGAAGGUAUUGUGCCAGACAUUGUGACGUUUAAUUGUUUGCUUGAGGAUCUUUCUGAUAUAGGGAAGACUGUGGAAGCAAACAAAUUAAGGUUGUUAGCGCAAAGCAAGGGUUUGGAACCAGAUGGCAUGACAUACAGGGUUCUGGUAUCUGGUUUUACGAGAGAAAGAAAGAGAAAGGAGGGCCAGAUUCUGGUAGAUGAAAUGUUAGACAAGGACUUUAUACCUGAUCAUGCAACGUACAAUAGAUUGAUUGAUGGACUUUCAAACUCAAAAAUUACUUCUAGGAAGAAAGGUUGAAGAUGGGUUAGGAUCUUAUUCAUUUCAACUUGGUUUCUGGAAUGCCGGCAUCUGUUUGCAAACCCCCUCAUGCUUUGUGCUUGGUUUGCCAAUCAGUUUUAUCACUUUGGGACAAAGUGGGUUUAUGGCUAUGUUUCAGAUGGUUGAGGACAAUGUACAGCCUGGGAGCGAGCAGAACAGAUACUGGUACGUGCACAAAACAACGAGUGGAAAGGAACGGAAACUUCGCAUUGAGUUGUAGGAAUCGUAAAGCCAGGAGAGCAGAUUGUGAUGCCAUGCGGAUGAGUAGUGCCCAGACGACAUCUAGGAGGUAUGAAUCAUGGUAACGGUGAUAAGCAUUAAUCCUAAGAUAUGAGAGAGUUGGAAAGUUUGAGUGACUGAGAAUAGUUUAUUGGGAUUGUAUUUGUAUAUAGACGUGAUUAAUAAUGAUACCGAUGAGCGUGUAUAUUAUAAAAGCUGCAGAAGAUGAACAUUGAAUUUUCUGGCAGAUCUCAAACUGAUAUCAAUUAAUCUAAUGAGGAAAAGCUUAGGGUAGAAAAUUCAUGCAAAUUCUGAAUUGGGCUUUGUUAUAUAUUAAGAAGCACCGACAUUCUCUGGAAGCCUCCGUGUCAUAUCGGACACUCCGACAUGUGAUCAACUCUUCCUAACACACGAGUUCGAAAUUCUGACACGCAACUCCAACACGCACGGGGUCAAUUUUAAAAAAUUUCAAUACUUGAGGAGUCAAAAUAUAAAUAUAUGAAAAAAUAAUGAAAAUAACAAAAAUAAAGAGGAAAGAAGAAAAUUUGCACUCUCAAGUUUCUCAUUUAUAAAUUUUGACAUUCUCGUGAGUGACGGUGAACGCUCCUCUUCUUGCCGGCAUCGCUCUGCUACCCCCGCAGAGUUAAAGUUGGAAUUUUUUUUUUCUUCUUUCCACCUUUGGUCACAUUUUCCAUAGGGAAUUUAGUUAUUUCCUUUUCUUUUGGUCGUACUCUGUUUUGUAGAGGAGCUCAAGCCAAUCUAUUUAAUGAACUCCAAACUUGGUCUGGGAUUAUAAGAAAUCUCAUUAAUUUCCAAAAAGUGUGAGCAAACAGGACAUGUUUCUUCAAAUUUACUCUUGUGUUUGCAAUUUUUGAAUUUCUCCUUGAAUCUCUCUCAAAUUAAAACAAUAAAUGACAUUAAUAAAUAUUGGAUUAAUAUUUUUAGUAUAAAUUUAGUAUAUGCUCUUUUUAUUUAUUUAUUUAUUUAUUUUUGUAUUUAUAUAUAAUUUGUCGGAAUGUGUCGGAAUUCUCUAUUUUUUUUUUUUUUUAUAAAUAACGUAUCGGCGUGUCAUAUCGUGUUGUGUUGUGUGUCGCGUAUCCAUGUCGGUGCUGCAUAUAUAACUUGUCUGAGAUGGACCCUAGCAAAGAGAUUUCUUAGGAUUGAAAGUAAUGCAGAAAAGAGAAGGCAAGAGCCAAAGCUGUUAAAACAAGGUAUAAAAUCAUGAACUAUCAGGUUGGCAAAGCUGUCAAGUACUCGAUAUUGAUAGAACAAAUUAGGCACUUUACAUUUGGUUUGGUGGUGACACUGUCCUAAUAAUGCCCUUUUUCUGUGCUGCUCAUCGAUGAAUCGGUUGAUGAGAAAAAUAAUCCCCUAACUUCACAAAGUCGGUAAGACAAAAACUCCACGAGUGGCUCAAAUAUAAGAUUGUUUGAACUUGAUGAUAUAAUCGGUAUGCCUUAUCCAUGUAUACAUAUCUUUCUUUGUUCAGUGGGUGCAAGUGCUGCCAUUAAACUUUAGUUUUACAUUUUAUUAAAUGUAACACCAUAAAAAAGUUUUAUCUCACUAAAAAGCUCUGGACCCUCUAGAUUACCAAAUUAAGACUACUCGUUUCAACUUUUUAACUGAGGAUAGAUUCAAAUCACGGCACUUGUUUAGGAUUUUUCUUUAUGAGACGAAAAUUAGUAUUUUGGAUUUUUGUUAGGCUAAAAUUUUGGAGUAAACGUCUCAUGAGAGCACAAAUUUUUUUUGGGGGGAGGGGGGGGGGGAAGUAAAUCUACAUAACAAACAUCACUUCAUAUCACAAACUGUCAUAAUCAAGUACAUGUAUAGGAUCUGAGGCAUGCUUAGAUCAUUACAAUAGACAGGGAUAACAUUAGUGAAUCACGUGAUAGUAUAGCCCAACGGCGAACUCGCUACAUAGCUUCAAGGUGUAGUAGUGAAAAAAGACAUGUCUUUCGGAAUUGUGGGAACAAAUGGUAGCGUUGGCUUAGGGAAAUCGGGGAAAUGAGGUAGUUCGGGCACUUUUGGUAAUUAUGGCUUCGGUAUUGUUGGUAAUUCAGGCUUUGGAAGUUCAGGAACCAACGGCAAUUCAACUUUUGGCAAAGAUGACAAUUCUGGCUUGGGUAGGCUCGGAAUGUCGGGAAGGUGAGGCAAUUCGGGCUUAGGUAAUUCAGGCACUUCAGGCACUUCAGGCAAUUCUGGCUUGGGCAAGCUCACAAUGUCGGGAAGAUGAGGCGAUUCGGGUUUGGGCAGUUCAGGCACUUCUGGUAAUUCUGGCUUUGGUAUUGUUGGUAAUUCAGGCUUUGGAAGUUCAGGAACUGACGGCAAUUCAACUUUUGGCAAAGAUGGCAAUUCUGGCUUGGGUAGGCUCGGAAUGUCGGGAAGGUGAGGCAAUUCAGGCUUAGGUAAUUCAGGCACUUCAGGCAAUGCUAACUCCAAAAGUUGGCGAGCUUCAACAGAAUUCUUGCCGAUCAUCAAGGACAGAGCAAGGACAAACAAUCCCAAAAUGUGCACAAACCUGUGAUAGUUUGCCAUGAUGGAAUUGACUAGCGAAAUGAAGAACUUCGAUGGUGAGGAGCUAUGAAUCUCAAGUGAAGGUGGUGGCGGUGUGUUUGAGGGAUGGCUUGGUUUGGGGUUUAAAGAGGGGACGUGGAGAUUAGGGAGAAUGCAAGUAUGUUUUGGUAGGAAAACUAGCAGAGUGUUAGCUCAACUUGGACACCAAUUUCAUUUCCAUAUGUUCAACACGAUUUGAGCAAAUUAAACAAUCCCAGAAUGAUCUUGCCAACUCUAGGCUUCAAAAGCAUGUAAUGUAACCAUCAGCUGUAUUAUUUUGGUUAGAAAAAAAGCCAAAAAGAUCUUCCUCUGCACAAGUAUGUUUUCUUUUCAAUUUUUUCUCACUAAAUUAAUUUUUGACUUACAUUCAGUGGACCAAGUUGAAAAGGGUCAUUUAAACUUAUAUAAAAUAGAUUUAAAAUGGUUAAGAAAAACAAACCCAACUAGAUGUGUUCAUUUUAAUCAAACGAAAUAAAGAAUCGGCAAUAAAAAAUACAAGACAGGUCAUCUUGGGUUUUAAUGGAUUGGGAUUGAACUCAUUUGAUUCAAAUAAUAGAUUUCGAUUGGACUCAUUUGAUUCAAACUAAAAAAAUUUUGGGGAUAAAAAAGAGGAGAGGAGAGGGAUAUCACGGUUACUUUCCUUCCUUCUAUUUGCAUGUGGGAAAACACCAAAAAGUUAUAAAUAUAUUGUAUUUGUGUCAAUUAUGUUAUAAAUAUAUUGCAUUGUGUCAAUUCAGUCUUAGGCCUUUUAAUUAGAUUAAUUUAGUCCUAAAUAUUUUGUUGGUGCCAACUAGUUCACGUGGACACCAGUCAUCUUAUGUAAUAUAGCUGACACUAACAUUAACAUUUUUAAUAAUUUUUAAUAAUUUUAAAUUUUUAAAUUUUUAAAUUUCUUUUUCUUCCUUUGAUUUGGCCAGCCGGAGGAGAAGGCAUUCGUGCCCUUGUUUGCAACCAGCUGCGAGUAAGGGUGUAAGAACUCCCUCGCCCAAGCCCCACCCAAAUUGACCCUCAAGAAUGGUUAGGCCCUAACCGGCCAAAAUGAAAGAAAGAAAAAUAUAAACAAUAAUUCAAAAAAAUUAAAUUGAAAAAAUUAUCCAUGUAAGCACCAAUCAUGCUACAUAGGAUGGCUAGUUAGCAAUUUUCAGCCAAAUUUGAUCAAAUAAACUGAAUUGACACAAACGUAAAUAAUUUAAAAUAAAAUUGGUUCAGUUGAAAGAUUUAUGAUUGAAUUAGUCAUAAAACAAUAAGUAUAGAUUUUUUUUUAAAAUUCUCCGCGCUAGAACAUAGAGGUGUCAAAAUGGGCAUUAACCCAUUUAUGGACCCAUUUAUGUUUAAAUAGGUCGUUAAUGGGUCAAGCCUAUUUCCUAAAGCACCUAUAAUGAGUUUUAAUGGGUUAAGACUGAGAUAUAUGAGUUAAGACCCAUUUAUCAACCCAUUAAAAAUGAAAUUAUUUAUUUUCACCCAAAAAAUCACAAUUUCUAUCUUCUCUCUUUAACUUUACAAAAAUAUUUUUUUAAAAGAAAGCAAAAUUAUAAUUAUUUUUUUAUUUUUUAUUUUUUCUUUCUUCUUCCUCUAGUCGCUGGCACGGUGAUGGCUGGCAACCGGCCAGGCAAGAGCCUCGCCAAUCUGGCAAGACUCGAACUCGCCGGCGUCAGGCAAGGCUCGAGCUCGCUAGACACCGACAAGCCUCAAGCUCGCCAGAUUUGGCGAGGCAAAGGCCCCGCUAACGUUCGGCGAGGCUUGAGUCUUGCUAGAUCCAACGAGGGGUGAGCUCAAGCUCGCUCGACGCCGGCAAGCCUCGAGCUUGCCAAAUCUGGCGAGGGGCGAGCUCAAGCUCACUCAACGUUGGUGAGCCUCGAGCUCAUCGGAUCCGGCAAGGCAGAGGCCUCACCAACAUUGACGAGCCAGGCGAGCUCCUGGUCGCCUGUGGCCGGCUGCCGGUUGUCGUCGUGGCCGACGGCCGGCCAAAGAAGAAGAAGAACAAAAAAUAAAAUUCAAAAUUCAAAAUUAUAUUUAAAAAAUAAAAAUAAAUUAAAAUUUAAUUUAAAAAAUAAAAAAUAAUUAAAAUUCGAUUUUUUAAAAUAUAUUUUUAAAAAAUUAUAAAAGUUGUCCAUUAAAUUUGCGUUGUAUAAAAUUAUUUUAGCAAUACUAUUAUAUAUAUAAGCUUUCUUAAAUUUAGUUAAAUGGGUCGGGUAUGGAUAGAGUAUGAAUCAAAAAUUUUGUAUUGUAAUAAUUGGUCAUAAACAAGUUAAAUGGGUCGAUUUGGGUCGGACCAUUUAUGACCCAACCCAAACCUGACUCGACCCACCUGUUUAACGGGUAUACCAGAACAUCAAUGACAAUGUUGCUACCGCAACUAGGCAACAACCACCGGAUAAUAGAAGACCCGGCAAUGUUGUCAUAGUUAGCAUUAUCAACAUUCUCGUUGGUGUUAGCCUCAACAAAAAAACAAAGCACCAUGAUCGCGGUGCCCAUCAUGAACUUCAUUGUCAUUGGGUGUUAGAAAAAUCCCUUAGGAUGUUUUAAAAAUGAUAAAAUAAAUCAAAGGUUAAUAAUGUGUUUAAUAAGAAAUUAUUAUUUUUUUGUAAAAUAGGGAGAGGGGGAAAUGAAAGGAAAUGCUUGCAAGACCCCUCUUGUUUCCAAUUUCUCUUAUUUUUUUUUUUGUAAAAUAGGGAAUUAUUUUCAACAAAAGUUAUUUUAGUCUAUUAAUCUCUUUUAUAUCUCUCAUAGCCUUUUAUUUUGACAUAUAUACAGGUCACUUAGUCUUUGUCUAGUCAUUUUGUCCGAGACGAUAAAUGUUUUGGAAUGAAGUUAUAAAAUCAUAAGUUCGGUUGGGGUGAUGUGAAAAUUAGUUCCAUGAGUUUCUCACCGUGCUUUGGAAACAGAAAUGAGAGAAAUCCUAUAAUCAUAUAUUGAUUAGUAGCUUCGUGGCAAUGAACAUAGUAGCAUUAAAUUCCCAUUUGCCAAUUCACAUGGACAACCAACUUAAUCCAUCAAUAAGUUCGCAUUUGGCAUUUGAUGGAUAUUGGAUCUCAUUUGGUUGAGCUGUAUUGCCAAUUUCAGGUGAAUCUCUUCCUUGUAAUUUCCCUAAUGGUUUCUAUGUGUCUACUGUCAGGUGAAGCCACCAUCAAAGAAUCUCCCUCAAAUUGUAAAACCCACUCCCAGACCUCUUCAACCAUCUUCUUCACCACCUCCCUCUCUUCUCUCAGACCUCAAGCUGCCCUCUCUAUCUCCAUUACCAACCCUGACUCUCUCUAUAACCGAUCAUGAUAAUCUGAUGAACUUUCUUAAGUCCAAACUCUCUUUCCCUCUUACACCCAGGAGUCUCCUCCACUUCCUCAAGUGCAAACUCCACCCCAACCCUCAUUUGACCCUCUAUGACUUUUAUAUAUUCAGUUGGGCCUCCACGGUUGACUCCUAUCGCCAUGACCACUCAACAUUUGAGUGGAUGGCUCGCACUCUCGCUAUUUCAAGCCGUUUCGAGCAACUCAAUUCGCUUCUCCAGUUCAUGGCCUCAAACCCUUGCCCUUGCUCUGAUGGAAUUUUCUCAUGCGCCAGGACAGAGCCAAUCUUUCAAUUCUCAAUAGAAACUUAUUGCAGAGCUCGGAAACGAGAGGAAAGCAGUGAUUGCUUUUGAGAGUAUGGAGAAGAUGAUUGAUGGCAGGCUGAGUGCGGUGAGUUAUAAUGCUUUGAUUCAUGGAUUUGUGAAAUGGGGUGACCAUGCCAGGGCUCUGGCCAUCUAUGAUCAAAUGAUAAGGAACAUAGUCAAGCCUAAUGUGAUAACCUUUAAUAUCUUGAUUAGUAGUUAUUGUAGAAUAUUACAGUUUGGAUUGGCUUGGUGGUGUUUAAGGAGAUGAAGGAGAAGGGUUGCAGCCCAGAUGUGGUCAGUUUCAAUACUUUGAUCAGGGGGUUUUUUCGGGAGAGGAAGUUUGAGGAUGUGAUCGCAAUGGCUUAUGAGAUGAUCGAACUGGGGUGCCAGUUGUCGAGUGUGACUUGUGAGAUUUUGGUCGAUGGCCUCUGUACGGAAGGUAAAGUAGCUGAGGCAUGUGAAUUGCUGAUUGGUUUUCCAAGUAAAAGAGUGUUGCCUGAGGAGUAUGAUUAUUUUGGCCUUGUGGAAGCUUUGUGCAGUUUAGGCAAUUCUCAUAGAGCACUUGAUGUUGUUACUGAUCUGUGAAAGACGGGAAAUAUUCCAAAUCUUGAUUGCUUGUAGUACUUUGGUGGAAGGGUUGAGGAAGCAGAAGAAAAGGGAAGAUGCACUUGCUUUGAUGGAAAAUAUGCUUAAAGAAGGUAUUGUACCAGACAUUGUGACGUUUAAUUGUUUGCUUGAGGAUCUUUCUGAUAUAGGGAAGACUGUGGAAGCAAACAAAUUGAGGUUGUUGGCGCAAAGCAAAGGUUUGGAACCAGAUGGCAUGAUGGACAGGGUUCUGGUAUCUGGUUUGACGAGAGAAAGAAAGAGAAAGGAGGGCCAGAUUCUGGUAGAUGAGAUGUUAGACAAGGACUUUAUACCUGAUCUUGCAACGUACAAUAGAUUGAUUGAUGGACUUUCAAACUCAAAAAUUACUUCUAGGAAGAAAGGUUGAAGAUGGGUUAGGAUCUUAUUCAUUUCAACUUGGUUUCUUGAAUGCUGGCAUCUGUUUGCAAACACCCUCAUGCUUUGUGCUUGGUUUGCCAAUCAGUUUUAUCACUUUGGGACAAAGUGGGUUUAUGGCUAUGUUUCAGAUGGUUGAGGACAAUGUACAGCCUGGGAGCGAACAGAACAGAUACUGGUACGUGCACAAAACGAGUGGAAAGGAACGGAAACUUCGCAUUGAGUUGUACGAAUUGUAAAGCCAGGAGAGCAGAUUGUGAUGCUCAGCAAGAGAUGAUGCGGAUAAGUAGUGCCCAGACGACAUCUAGGAGGUAUGAAUCAUUGUAACGGUGAUAAGCAUUAAUCCUAAGAUAUGAGAGAGCUGGAAAGUUUGAGUGACUGAGAAUAGUUUAUUUGGAUUAUGUUUGUAUAUAGACGUGAUUAAUAAUGAUACCAAUGAGCGUGUAUAUUAUAAAAGCUGCAGAAGAUGAACAUUGAAUUUUCUGGCAGAUCUCAAACUGACACCGAUUAAUCUAAUGAGGAAAAGCUUAGGGUAGAAAAUUCAUGCAAAUUCUGAUUUGGGCUCUGCUAUAUAUAUGAUAUAACUUGUGUGAGAUAGACCCUGGCAAAGAGAUUUCUUAGGAUUGAAAGCAAUGCAGAAAAGAGAAGGCAAGAGCCAAAGCUGUUAAAACAAAGUAUAAAAUCAUAAACCAUCAGGUUGGCAAAGCUGUCAAGUACUCGAUGUUGAUAGAACAAAUUAGGCACUUUACAUUUGGUUUGGUGGUGACACAGCCCUAAUAAUGCCCUUUUUCUGUGCUCCUCAUCGAUGAAUCGGUUGAUGAGAAAAAUAAUCCCCUAACUUCAUAAAUUCGGUAAGACAAAAACUCCAUGAGUGGCUCAAGUAUAAGAUUGUUUGAACUUGAUGAUAUAAUCGGCAUGCCUUAUCCAUGCAUACAUAUCUUUAGUGUGUGCAAGUGCUGCCAUUAAACUUUAGUUUUACAUUUUAUUAAAUGUAACACCAUAAAAAAGUUUUAUCUUGCUAAAAAGCUCUGGACCCUCUAGAUUACCAUAUUAAGACGACUCGUUUCAACUUUUUAACAGAGGAUAGAUUCAAAUCACGGCACUUGUUUAGGAUUUUUCUUUAUGAGACGAAAAUUAGUAUUUUGGAUUUUUGAUAGGCUAAAGUUUUGGAGUAAACGUAUCAUGAGAGCACAAAUUUUGUUUUGGGGGAGGGGGGUUGGGUUUUGAGACGAAAAUUAGUUUGAGGUACAUGUAUCAUAGGAUACUAAUUUGGGAUUUUUAGUCAUAUUAACCCUUGGCAUAAUGAUAUAUACAUAUAUAUUUAUGUAAUUUUGGAUGUCAAACACCAAAUUUAUCCUUCUUUAUGAUUUCUUAAAGUAAAUCUACAUAACAAACAUCACUUCAUAUCACAAACUGUCAUAAUCAAGUACAUGUAUAGGAUCCGAGGCAUGCUCAGAUCAUUACGAUAGACAGAAACAACAUUAGUGAAUCACAUGAUAGUGUAACCCAACAGCGAACUCGCUACAUAGCUUCAAGGAGUAGUAGUGGAAACAGACAUGUCUUUCGGAAUUGUGGGAACGACUGGUAGUGUUGGCUUAGGGAAAUCGAGGAGAUGAGUUAGUUCGGGCACUUUUGGUAAUUCUGGCUUCGGUAUUGCUGUUAAUUCUGGCUUGGGCAAUUCAGGAAGCGAUGGCAAUUCGACUUUUGGCAAAGAUCGCAAUUCAGGCUUUGGCAGUUCAGGGAGCGGCGGCAAUUCGGCUUUUGGUGAAGAUGGCAAUUCUGGCUUAGGCAAGCUCACAAUGUCGGGAAGAUGAGGCAAUUCGGGUUUGGGCAGUUCAGGCACUUCUGGUAAUUCUGGCUUCGGUAUUCUUGGUAAUUCAGGCUUUGGAAGUUCAGGAAUCGACGGCAAUUCAACUUUUGGCAAAGAUGGCAAUUCUGGCUUGGGUAGGCUCGGAAUGUCGGGAAGGUGAGGCAAUUCGGGCUUAGGUAAUUCAGGCACUUCAGGCAAUUCUGGCUUGGGCAGGCUCACAAUGUCGGGAAGAUGAGGCAAUUCGGGUUUGGGCAGUUCAGGCACUUCUGGUAAUUCUGGCUUUGGUAUUGUUGGUAAUUCAGGCUUUGGAAGUUCAGGAACCGACGGCAAUUCAACUUUUGGCAAAUAUGGCAAUUCUGGCUUGGGUAGGCUCGGAAUGUCGGGAAGGUGAGGCAAUUCAGGCUUAGGUAAUUCAGGCACUUCAGGUAAUGCUAACUCCAAAAGUUGGCGAGCUUCAACAAAAUUCUCGCCAAUCAUCAAGGACAGAGCAAGGACAAACAAUCCCAAAAUGUGCACAAACCUGUGAUAGUUUGCCAUUAUGGAAUUGACUAGCGAAAUGAAGAACUUCGAUGGUGAGGAGCUAUGAAUCUCAAGUGAAGAUGGUGGUGGUGUGUUUGAGGGAUGGCUUGGUUGGGGUUUUUAAAGAGGGGGACGUGGAGAUUAGGGAGAUUGCAAGUAUGUUUUGGUAGGAAAACUAGCAGAGUGUUAGCUCAACUUCGAAACCAAUUUCAUUUCCAUAUGUUCAACACGAUUUGAGCAAAUCAAACAAUCCCAGAAUGAUCUUGCCAACUCUAGGCUUCAAAAGCAUGUAAUGUAACCAUCAGCUGUAUUAUUUUGGUUAGAAAAAAAGCCAAAAAGAAUCUUACUCUGCACAAGUAUGUUUUCUUUUCAAUUUUUUCUCACUAACUUAAUUUUUGACUUACAUUCAGUGGACCAAGUUGAAAAGGGUCACUUAAACUUAUAUAAAAUAGAUUUAAAAUGGUUAAGAAAAUCAAACCCAACUAGAUGUGGAUUUUAAUGGUUCGGACCAAAUUCAUUUUAAUCAAACGAAAUAAAGAAUCGGCAAUAAAAAAUACAAGACAGGUCAUCUUGGGUUUUAAUGGAUUGGGAUUGAACUCAGUUGAUUAGAAUAAUAGAUUUCGAUUGAACUCAUUUGAUUCAAACUAAAAAAAAAAUUUGGGGAUAAAAAAGAGGAGUGGGAUAUCAUGGUUACUUUCCUUCCUUCUAUUUGCAUGUGGGAAAACACCAAAAAAUGUUAUAAAUAUAUUGCAUUUGUAUCAAUUCAGUCUUAGGCCGUUUAAUUAGAUUAAUUUAGUACUAAAAAUUUUGUUGAUGCCAACUAAUUCACGUGCAUGCCAGUUAUCUUAUGUAUGCCAGUUAUCUUAUGUGAUAUAAUCGACAUUAACAUUAAUAUUUUUUAAUAAUUUUUAUUUUUAUUUUUAUUUUUUUCUUUCUUUUUCUUCCUUUCAUUUGGCCAGCCGGAGGAGAGGGCAUUCGUGCCCUUGCUCAUAGCCAGCCACGAGUAAGGGUGUGAGAAGUCCCUCGCCCAGGCCCCAUCCAAAUUGACCCUCAAGAGCAGUUAGGCCCUAACCGGUCAAAAUGAAAGAAAGAAAAAUAUAAACAAUAAUUCAAAAAAAUUAAAUUGAAAAAAUUGUCCAUGUAAGCACCAAGCACCAAUCAUACUACAUAGGAUGGCUAGUUAGCAAUUUUCAACCAAAUUUGAUCAGAUAAACUGAAUUGACACAAAUGUAAAUAGUUUAAUAUAAAAUUGGUUCAAUAGAGAGAUUUAGGAUUGAAUUAGUCAUAAUACAAUAAGUAAAAAAAAAUAUUUAAAUUCUCCUUGCCAGAACAUCAAUGACAAUGUUGCUACUGCCGCUAGGCAAUAACCACCGGAUAAUUGAAGACCCAACAACGUUGUCAUAGUUGGCAUUAUCAACAUUCUCGUUGGUGUUAGCCUCAACAAAAGAACAAAGCACCAUGAUCGUGGUGCCCAUCAUGAGCUUCACUAUCGUCGGGUGUUUGGGAAAUCCCUUAGGAUGUUUUAAAGAUAACAAAAUAAAUCAAAGGUUACUAACGUGUUUAAUAGGAAAUUAUUUUUUUGUAAAAUAGGGAGGGGGGAAAUUAAAGGAAAUGCUUGCAAGUCCCCUCUUGUUUCCUAUUGCUCUUAUUUUUUUUGUAGAAUAGGGAAUUAUUUUUGACAAAAGUUAUUUUAGUCUAUUAAUUUCUUUUAUAUCCCUCAUAGCCUUUUAUUUUGACAUAUAUACAGGUCACUUAGUCUUUGUCUAGUCAUUUUAUCCGAGACGAUAAAUGUUUUGGAAUGAAGUUAUAAAAUCAUAAGUUGGGUUGGGGUGACAUGAAAAUUAGUUCAAUGAGUUUCUCACCGUGCUUUGGAAACCGAAAUGAGAGAAAUCCUAUAAUCAUUUAUUGAUUAGUAGCUUCGUGGCAAUGAACAUAGUAAGCAUUAAAUUCCCAUUUGCCAAUUCACAUGGACAACCAACUUAAUCCAUCAAUAAGGUCGCAUUUGGCAUUUGAUGGAUUUUUUUUUUUUUGAACGGAAACCCAUACUGUAUUAAUACGAGUGUCCCAUACAACUAGCGACUAUAGCAUCCGCGCUUAACAGGUUCAAGAGAGGAGGGAGCGAAAAAAGGGCCCAAUUACAAGUCAAACUAUUGCUAUUAUGGGCCUUACAGGCCCAGUCGGCUACCGCGUUUGCUUCCCUUCGAUAGAACCCUAGCGUUAGAUUGGGAAAUAGGUUUAACAGGAAUGCUGCCUCUGAGAAGAGAGAGCGAUCCGUCCAUGGCAGCAGUGUCCGACGAUUCAACGUUUCCACCAGAGUGAUAUUGUCUGAUUCGACGAUUAUCGGUGUGUUUUGGAGCCCCUGUUGCAGAAGAUGGCGGAGUGAGAAGGAUAAGGCUUGGAUCUCAACCUGUAUAGCCGAGGACGCAACAACCCCUAUGGAGAAACCAUCUGUAAGUCGGCCUUGAUGAUCCCUGCAAAUACAAGUUAUAUUGCCAUGAUUACUUCCCUUAUGAUAUGAUCCGUCUAUAUUAACCUUCAGAACCACGGGAUCUGGGGGAUGCUAGAGAUGACUUUUAUUUUUGACCGAGAACUCUUGUUGUGUAUAGGAAGCCGAGGACAACCGAUCUACCUGAGCGUGAUUUAGUGCCGCUUCUACGACUUGGGUCGGAUUGGGAGCAGUUCCUCUAAAAAUGAAGCCAUUUCGGGCUCGCCAGAAUUGCCACAUAACAUGAGAAAUAAAUGCCAGACGAGGUAAUCGGUUUCCUUCCCCGACCGUGGACACGAUCCACGAGUCCAGACGCUGAAUAAUGUUGGGAAUGACUAAGAUCUCGAUCUGGGAAUGAUUCCACACCUGAUGAGUCCACGAACAGAGUAAGAACAUAUGUUCUAAGGUUUCUGGAACCUUAUUUUUACAUAGUUGGCAGGGGGGAUUUUCUAAUAUAUGUCUGCGAUGCAGGUUGUCUCUCGUCGCCAAGGAAUUGCUGCAGAUGGACCAGAGGAAAACACGGAGUUUGGGUGCAGCAGGCAUUUUCCAGAUAUUACGCCAUAACCAAGUAGGGAUUUGGUAUGAUGUUGAAGCACCAGAAUUUGAGAUACCUUAUUUUGUCUGAAUAAUUGCAUGAUAUGUUGAUUUGACCGUAAAUUUUCCUUGCUUAGUAGCUGUCCAUAUAAGUGCAUCUGAAGUGAAGUUAGGCCUGAGUUGGAUGUCUGUUAUCUGUUGAAUGAUUGACAAGUCGAAAAAUCUGUACAAUAAAUCUAUCUUCCAUGAACUGGUAGCCUGAUCAAUAAGAUCAGCUACUAGUAGAGGUUCUUCUAGGGCUUUUGGUCCACCUAGAAUGCCCAUUGGGAGCCAUCUGUCUUCUCUAAUGUUGAUGCAUUUGCCAUCUCCCAUUGACCAACUAACAUUUGGUAAAAUAGCAUCCCUCUCGCUCAAGAGGCUCUGCUAGCCCCAUGAUGGGCGAGAGCCCUUGUUAGCUUUUAAAAAGGUGGAUGAGUGAAAAUAUAAAUCUCUAAAAAACUUGCCCCAUAAAGAUAAGGGUUGAUGAAUUAGAUGCCAUGCUUGCUUAUCGAGCAUGGCUUGAUUAAAACUCAUCAAAUCUCUGAAGCCCAAUCCCCCUAAUUCAUUUCGGUUCUGUAAAGUUUUCCAACUCUGCCAAUGAAUUCCAGAUCUGCUUGUAUCAUUGCUCCACCAAAAUUUAGCAAUUCUCUGUUCAAUAACUUUACAUAAUGAGAUAGAAAUCUUAAAAACAGACAUGGCGUAUUGUGGAAUAGAUUGAAUGACAGUCUUUAGCAGAACUUCUUUCCCUCCCUUAGAAAUUAGUUUGUCCUUCCACCCUUCUAAUUUCGAUUGAACUCUACUCAACAGCCAAUAAAACAUAUCCCUUUUAGAUCUUCCCCAAUAUGUAGGUAUCCCUAAAUACUUCUCACAUUGCUGUAAAACAGGUACCCUUAAUUCCCUAGCCAAAUUUUCCUGGAGAGAGAUAGGACAAGAAGGACUGAAGAAAAUUCCAUAUUUAUUUCGAUUAAUAGUUUGUCCAGAAGCCAGGCAAUACUGGUUUAGAAUAUUAGAUAGGUUCUGACACUCCAGUAAGGUACCAUUAAGAAAGAACACGGCAUCAUCAGCGAAAAAGAGAUGUGAUAAAGUAGGACACCAUUUAUUCAACUUAAUGCAUUUGAGUAAGGCCCAUAUCCAUAGCAUUUCUAAUUAGGAAGGAUAAGAGAUUGGCUAUAAGGAUAAACAAGUAAGGGGAUAAGGGAUCUCCUUGCCUCAGCCCUCGAGUUGGGUGAAAACUCGGUAAAUACUCACAAUUCAUUUUGACAGAGAAAGAUGUAGUUGAAAUGCACUGCAUAAUUAGGUGGACCCAAUGAGAAUGAAAGCCUAAUCGAAGUAAAUAAUCUUGAAGAAAGUCCCAUUCAACACGGUCAUAAACUUUCUGCAUAUCUAACUUAAGAAUAGCUUUAAAAUGACGCCUCCGUUACUAGUCUUAAGCUGAUGAAUGACUUCCUGUACGAUGAGAACAUUGUCCUGAAUUUGUCUUCCAGCAACAAAAGCACUUUGUUCCUCAGUAAUCAGCGUAGGCAGCAAGGAUUUUAAUCUAUUAGCUAGUACUUUAGAGAAAAUCUUAUAGGCAUAGUUGCACAAGCUAAUAGGACGAUACUGAUCCAAGCUUUCUGGGUUUGGGGUUUUGGGGAUUAGGGUUAUAGCGGUUCUGUUUAAAGGUAAAGGUAAUGAUCCAGAAGUAAAGAAUUGCUGAACUGCUUUGUGAAUGUCCACCUUAAGAACUUCCCAAUGCGAUUGAUAAAAUAGUCUAUUUAAACCAUCUGGGCCUGGUGCCUUUGAAGCACCUAAUUGAAAUGUGGCCACUUUAACUUCUUCGAGAGUGGGUUGAACGAGAAGUGUUGCAUUCAUGUCUGCAUCAACCAUCUGUGGACACUGUUGUAAAAUCUGUGCAUAACAGCGAGGGCCUGAAGUGGUAUAUAGCUGUGAAAAAUAAUCUGUAGUGAGUUCUUUGAUCUGUCCAUUAUCCCAAACCCAUUACUGAUGUUCAUCCCUCAAUAUAGUAAUUUGAUUACGUUGUCUUCUUUGAAGUGUGGUAGCAUGAAAGAACUUAGUAUUGCGGUCUCCCCACUUUAACUAGUUUAUCCUAGAUCGCAUCACCCAAAAUUGCUCUUCCCUCUGCCAUACUUUUUGAAGUUUUUUUUUUUUUAUCAUUUGUUGUCGACAUUGAUUCAUUAAAGUAGGAUGCUGAUUUGUCAAAGUUUGUAACUGGUGCUCUAAUUCCAUUGCAUGUUGCCUGUUGUGGGAGAAAUUCUGGCAACUCCAAGUGGAUAAGGCUGCAGCAACCACGCGAAGCUUGACUGGGAGAGGAGAGUCCUGCCUCGAGACAGAGUGCCAAGAGGUUUCAAUGACUGAGUGACAUCCCGGGUCCUGAUUCCAGAAAGCUUCAAAAGUAAAGUGUCUCUUUCGUCGACCCGAACAGGGUUUUGCAUCUAAAACAAUUGGGCUAUGAUCUGAUCCCACUGCAGAGAGAGCUAGCACUUGAGCAUUCGGGUACGUGACACGCCAUUCAGCAGUGCAUACAGCUCGAUCAAGAUGCUCCUUCACCAAGGCUUCCCCAUCACGGUGAUUGGACCAAGUGAAAGCACAACCAUGAGAAGGUAGAUCCAACAAGCAGCAAUCAUUAAGGACAUCUCGAAAUGAAGAGAGGCGGUAAGAGUCCGCAGGCCGAGAUCCCAUUUUCUCCCAACGGUGAAGAAUUUCAUUAAAAUCACCAAGGCACACCCAAGGUAAGACAUUAUAACUACCAAAUUGUUGCAAGGUCUUCCAAAGAUGCCGACGGUCAUGAAAAACUGCAGGGGCAUGAAUGCAAGUAAUCCUCAUAGAUCUGGCCUCCGAAAUUUCCAGACAAAGAAAAUCCAAAAAAUGAGGAUUGGAGGAGAAGUCAGACAGCGAGAUCCCACCAUUCCAAAAAAGAGCUAAGCCACCUACAAAGCGAACAGGGUUGAACAGCUUGUGGUGCAAAAAACGGAAGGAACGUUUAAGGCGAAGGAGUACUUCAUCACCAUUCUUCGUUUCCAUAAAAAAUAACAGGUCAAGCUUUUCUUUAGCCAAAAAGGCUUUUAAGGAUAGGACUGUCAAGGGAUUUUCCAAACCCUGACAGUUCCAACUGAUAAUUUUCAUUGUUGUUCUAGUGGCUGUUUAGGGCCAGCCACCGUCGCCCACGAACCAUCUUCAGACGCCUCUACAAUUGGCAUAUCCAACAAGAAUGAAUCAUCAUAAACUCCUAGUGGCCCUCCAGGUAAGUCAUAUGGAGUAUAGCGUCUCGGUUUCUUAGCAGGACCUUUUUUGAUAUUCUGACGCACAAUUUUGCCUUUUUUUUACUUGAGGAGUUGAUAUGGGCAAUUGUACUCCUUUAAGCUUCUCUAAUGCUGGAAUUAGAGCGGUCGUGAGAUUUUGUUGCACUGAAGGAGUGAAGCCCAAGGUAUCAGUACCAGCCUGUGGUGUGGUUGGAGUAGCCUUUUGUGGAGAGGAGGUUGUUUUAGGAAUAGGUGGUAGUAGAAGAGGGAGAGGGCGAAUAUCAGUGGGAGGUGUUUCGGGUAUGGUUUCCUCUCGCUCCUCCUCCAUAAUUGAUUCUCCAUAGUAACACUUCCAGUAAGGGCUGUACUGUUGAACUUUAGCUUUUAACUAGGGACCGUAAGGAGUUGUUCCAGCAUCGGUGAUCAUAUUCUCCUCAAAAGGGAUGGUGGGGCAAGAGUCAGUAUAAUGGCCCGAUCGUCCACAAGAGUAACAGUAAUGAGGUAACUGUUCAUACCGAAAUUCCAACCACAGAGUUUGAUUUUUGUAUUUAAUUAGUCGACCUACCUUAAAAGGUUCAGAUAAAUUCAACUCUACUCUAGCGCGGCCUGCUUUCAGGGUGGAACUAGUAGCAAAGUCAGACUUAACUUGCAGAACAGGGCCUAUCAGACUAACAGCCUUACGGAUCAUAUCAUCGGUACAACAUUCUAAAGGCAGCCCAAUUACCUAAACCCAGAAUGCACAAGUAGAGAAGUCAUAACAGUGCAGAGGGGUAUUGGCUACCCUGGGUUUAAAAUUUAUAAGGUGUCCCGAGAAUUGCCAAGGGCCUUUGUCUAGAAUUCUCUAUUUUUCAGCUUGAGACCUAAAUUUGGCUAAAUAAAUUCCCGCUUCUCUCUAUAGGAUUUCCACUUGGUCGGACCUCCAUGCCCUCUUCAAGACUGACUAGAAAGCUGGGAAAUUGAAGGAAGGGUUGGAUGGAACUUUACCAAUUGACGGUAGCUUACACUCCUUGACUGCGCCAAGUGCGGGUUCAACUUGCCAUUCUUCAAUUGCUUUUUCUGUGCAUAAUCGGCCCAAUUUUUUACAAAGUGCAGCAACUCAAGAUGCAUCAUCUUCGCUAGCCAUUGAUGAAAUGACGGAUUGCCUUAACAGAUGAAGGUCGUGAACAUAAAAAUAUCGACAUGCGAAAGGAGAAACGGAAGAACCCUAGAGGUGGAGAAAAGAAAACCAGCCAAACAAUCGCUGGCGAGAUGUGUAUGGGUUAACUGAUUAAACUUGUGAAGGAAAGGAGAGAGGAAGAUGAUGAAGAAUUGCCGUUUGCAUGGCGACAGUAAGAUACUGGAGACUGAAGACAAAAGGGUUUAACAGAGAAGAAGAACUCUACCUAAUAGAUAGAGAGGAAACUUGACAAGACGAGAGGGUAAGUGCAUUUGAUGGAUAUUGGAUCCCAUUUGGUUGAGCUGUAUUGCCAAUUUCAGGUGAAUCUCUUCCUUAUAAUUUCCAUAAUGGUUUCUAUGUGUCUACUGUCAGGUGAAGCCACCAUCGAAGAAUCUCCCUCAAAUUGUAAAACCCACUCCCAGACCUCUUCGACCAUCUUCUUCACCACCUCCCUCUCUUCUCUCAGACCUCAAGCCGCCCUCUCUAUCUCCAUUACCAACCCUGACUCUCUCUAUAACCAAUCAUGAUAAUCUGAUGAACUUUCUUAAGUCCAAACUCUCUCUUUCCCUCUCACACCCAGGAGUCUCCUCCAAUUCCUCAAGUGCAAACUCCACCCCAACCCUCAUUUGACCCUCUAUGACUUUUAUAUUCAGUUGGGCCUCCACGAUUGACUCCUAUCACCAUGACCACUCAACAUUUGAGUGGAUGGCUCGCACUCUUGCUAUUUCAAGCCGUUUCGAGCAACUCAAUUCGCUUCUCUAGUUCAUGGCCUCAAACCCUUGCCCUUGCUCUGAUGGAAUUUUCUCAUGCCCUAAGACAGAGCCAAUUUUUCAAUUCUCAAUAGAAGCUUAUUGUAGAGCUCGGAAACCAAAGGAAGCAGUGAUUGCUUUCGAGAAUAUGGAGAAGAUGUGUUGCGAUAGGGUGAGCGAUCGAACAAAAUAUAGACAGAAGAAGAAAAUAAAUCGGACACCAGAUUUACGUGGUUCAAUCGUAAAGACCUACAUCCACGGGGAGAGCAGCAGCCAAUAUCACUAUAGAUCAAGCGAUACAAGGAGAUUACACACUCAAGUCACUCAAAUACUCUCUCGGUGUUUCCCAAACCCCAAUUUAAUCCCAAACCCAACUCACGACACAAAAUUACCACGCGUUCAAGCUCAAAAUACAACGCUCUACGUACGCCUGAUUUGCAUACGCACGAAAUCCCGUAUCUUUUUGAGCUUCGCGCGACUUCGAGCAAUUAGUGAAUGUGCGGCUUGUUGGAUCAUCGAACGUCUGUGGCUUCGUAGGGUUUAUUUCACAGAGACUUCAUGCAAGCCGUCCCACGCACUCUCGCAGAGAAGAAAAUAUAUUGUAUAUAUAUGUGUGCCCAGGAAAGGUCAAAUAAUUGACCUGGGCCCACCAUCCACGUAUUUAGCUUCACACGGCAGAUUCCUCUCUCAGUGGACGUGUGUGUGCGUGUGUGUGCCCAAGGUCAAAACUUUGACCUUGGGCCCCACCAAUAAACCAAUCUUCGCAUGAAGAGGAAAUCCCGUGCAAGAGCUUCGCGAGUUUCGGAUUCCGCAUAAUUUCCGAAGAGGAAAUUCAUAUCUAUUUUAGCAAACGCUCAAACUUGAGUCAUAUUUAACAAUCUCCACCUUGGCUCGACGUUUGAGCUAAGUUGCAAUCGCUUCAUAAAAUUUUCAAAUUCUACUGCUACUUUCCUAUAGCCCCCCGAUGGGCUCAACUGCCACAGAUAUAAUUCAAGUUCAAGCUUCGCUUGAACUUCACCAUAACUGAGGACCUCAUCAGAGUACCAACUCCACAUACACUUUUAACUGCUCCGCAAGGAUUUUCUGACACAACCUCCUUAACCGCAGAUAAAGCAAAACCAUUAUUGCAUCCAUAUCUAUCAAAAGAUCGAAUACGUACAUUGUUAAUUUCAGCAGUUACAGCAACCGUUGGCUCCAUAAGCUCCACCUCGCUACAAAUACCAUAUGUGUCAAUUACUUUGCUAGUACUUGUACUCGCUACCUUAGGAGUUUCUGGUUGCAACUCCACCUCAAGCUGAACACCGUCCAGAUCUGUAUUAACACUGCCACAAACACUCCUAGCCAUAAGUAUUGGAGACUCAUCAAGGGUAACUUCUCUGCUGUUAACAAGUGAAUUUAUAUCUGUGCACCACAACGGAUCACCCCGCUCACCUUGUACAUAGCCAUGGAAUAUGCACCAUGCCCUCCAAUCGAGCUUACCAUCACUCACUCGAAAAUAACAUGGGCAACCAAACAUUCUAAUAAUAGAAUAAUCAGCAACGUUACCUGACAACACUUCUUCAGGAGUCUGCCAUUCAAUAGCAGUUGAUGGGAAUCUAUUCACCAGGUAGCUUACCGUACUUAGCACAUCAGCCAUGAAUCUCCUAGCCAUACCAGCACUAGAGAUAAUUUUUCGAGCAAUCUCUAGUAAUGUUCUGCUCGUCAAUUUUGCAAAUUGUUGUGAUUUAUUGGCACUAGUGCGGUGUUUCACUAUGCUCUCUUUCAUGCAAAAUUUAUUUGCCAGCUUCGAGUAGAACUCCAUGCUAUUGUCAGUCCGCACAUGCUUGAUCGACUUAUCAGUCUCCAUCUCGAUCAAAGCUCUUGACUGCAUGAUCCUAACACCAGCAUCAAACUUGUGCCUUGGCACAAACACCUAGGUCUUCCUCGAGUAGUCAAUAGACUCUCGAACAAAUGCAUUCGACGUCUCCGCAACGAAAUUUAUCACUGUCUCACCUUGAAGUUUAUACAAGCCAUCGUGCUUGAUUCCUUUCAUUAUCACUAGGGCACCUCGAACAACCUUCAGAAUUCCACCUUUUAAAGAAUACCUGCAACCAGCUGAAUCUAGGGCACCCAAGGAAAUUAAGUUCUUUUUCAAUUCCGGAACAUGCCUCACUCCAGUCAAUGUCCUCACGAUACCAUCAUGCAUUCUGAUUUUAACAUCACCAACACCCACAACAUCGCACUCAGCGUUGUUCCCUAACUUGACCUUAUCACUACCCAUGCAUUGAUAAGUGAUAAACCAAUUUCUAUUUGGUGUGACAUGAAAAAAACAACUAGAAUCCAUAACCCAUCCAUCAAGUGAUGAAUCAUUAGUGAUAGACAAGACAUAAUCGGCAUUAUCUGCUACAGCUGCAACAUUAUCUGUAGAAUCAACCAUAAUUCCCUUACCUUUCUCAUUUUUCAGCUUAAGGCAAUCCCUUCUAAGAUGCCCCCUCUUGCCACAGCUCCAACAGACAGCAUUAGUAGUCCUAGAUUGACUUCGUCUGUUCAUAUUAGUACUACCAUUACCCACAUGUGUUACAAAUCUUCCUCUAUUUUCACCUACUAGAGUAGUAGAUACAGAUUCGCCAGAUUCUCUUCUACGAAUGUCCUCGCUCAGAAUCAAAUCUCGAACCCCAUCAAACGUCAAACUUGUUGACCCAGAGGAAUUACUAACAUCAGUAACGGUAGUAUUCCAACUAUCAUGCAAUGAGGAUAAUAGAAUCAAAGCACGUACCUCAUCUUCAAAAUCAAUCUCAAUUGACUAACAAUUACAUUGAAUUCAUUGAUAUGAUCUGCAACUGACGCACCUUCUUUCAUCUUUAAGUUAAAUAGACAUCGCAUCAAACAGACCUUGUUGAUCACAGAGGGCUUCUCGUACAUAUCCGAUAGGGCUUGCAUCAAAUCAGCAGUGGUCUUCUCCUUCAGGAUGUUAAACGCGACGUUACGAGCCAACAUCAGUCGAAUAACACCCAUAGCUCGUCUAUCCAGCAAAUCCCAAUCAGCUUGCUUCAUCAUCUCUGGUUUCUCCCCAAAUAAAGGCAAGUGCAGAUUCAUCUGGUAAAGAUAAUCUUCAAUCUGCAUCUUCCAGAAACUAAAAUCCUUCCCAUCAAAUUUGUUGAUUCUCACUUUUACUUCUUCUGUCGCCAUCGAUUCGCUUCAACUCAGCCAAACCUAGCUCCAAUACCACUUGUUGUGAUAGGGCGAGCGAUCGAACAAAAUAUAGACAGAAGAAGAAAAUAAAUCGGACACCAGAUUUACGUGGUUCAGUCGUAAAGACCUACGUCCACGGGGAGAGCAGCAGCGAAUUUCACUAUAGAUCAAGCGAUACAAGGAGAUUACACACUCAAGUCACUUAAACACUCUCUCAGUGUUUCCCAAACCCCAAUUUAAUCCCAAACCCAACUCACGACACAAAAUUACCACGCGUUCAAGCUCAAAAUACAACGCUCUACGUACGCCUGAUUUGCGUACACACGAAAUCCCAUAUCUCUUUGAGCUUCGUGCGACUUCGAGCGAUCGGUGAAUGUGUGGCUUCUUGGAUCGUCGAACGUCUGUGGCUUCGUAGGGUUUAUUUCACAAAGACUUCAUGCAAGCCGUCCCACGCACUCUCGCAGAGAAGAAAAUAUAUUGUAUAUAUAUGUGUGCCCAGAUAGGUCAAACAAUUGACCUGGGCCCACCAUCCACGUAUUUAGCUUCACAUGGCAGAUUCCUCUCUCGGCGGACAUGUGUGUGCGUGUGUGUGCCCAAGGUCAAAACUUUGACCUUGGGCCCCACCAAUAAACCAAUCUUCGCAUGAAGAGGAAAUCCCGUGCAAGAGCUUCCCGAGUUUUGGAUUUUGCAUAAUUUCCGAAGAGGAAAUUCAUAUCUAUUUUAGCAAACGCUCAAACUCGAGUCAUAUUUAACAAGAUGAUCGAUGGCAAGCCGAGUGCGCUGAGUUAUAAUGCUUUGAUUCAUGGAUUUGUGAAAUGGGGUGACCAUGCCAGGGCUUUGGCCAUCUAUGAUCAAAUGAUAAGGAACAGAGUCAAGCGUAAUGUGAUAACCUUUAAUAUCUUGAUUAGUAGUUAUAGUAGAAAUUUACAGUUUGGAUUGGCUUUGGAGGUGUUUAAGGAGAUGAAGGAGAAGGGUUGCAGCCUAGAUGUGGUCAGUUUCAAUACUUUGAUCAAGGGGUUUUUUCGGGAGAGGAAGUUUGAGGAUGCGAUCGGAAUGGCUUAUGAAAUGAUCGAACUAGGUGUUAGCCGGGUUCACUCCUAUGUAGAGGAGGCCUAAUGAGUUGGAAGCCUAAAAAAGGCUUGAACCCAUAUGAUAAGUUAUAUGAGAAAAUAGAGUUUCGCAUUAUCUAUAUAAAGAGAUAGCUGCAAAAAAGGAAAAGAAAAAGAGAAAGCAGAAAAUUUGGGGUUUUGGGCAAUAUCUGAUUUACAUCAAGCUAGCGUCGGAGGUCGAUCCGUGGUCCGAUUGAGCUAAAAUUUUGUUAGCAUGUUCAUGGCGCAAUUUUAUUGAAUCUGAACGAUUUGAUUUUCAUUUGAAGUUCCCUACAUUAGGUUUUUCGUGGAUUGAUCAAAACUUUCGUUUUUUGUCAGAUUUAUCCUUGAUCUCUUGUGAAGUUCUUGUGUAUUGCCAAGAAUUAUGUUCUUGAGAUCUUUGCUGCUAUGUACCUCUAGUAUUUGCUAGAGAAGAAUAAUUUUGUUGAUAGUGAAGAAUUUCGGGUGGACUCCGGUCCCGUGGUUUUUGAUCUCCUCACAUCGAGGAGGUUUUCCACGUAAAAAUCAUCUUGUGUUCACAUGUUUGGUAUUUACUUUACUCUACUAUAUCGAUUUCUAUUAGGUUUACACAAGAGGGGAGAUUAUUUUAUUUCGCUGCGUUGAUUCGAUAUUGUUCGAAUUAUUACCGUUCUCCCAUCAGAGUGGUAUUAGAGCAUCUAGUUAUUGCUUGAUUUUUCUGCCUUGUGUUAAAUAAUGGAAACGAAUACGAGUGGAAUGGUUACAUUGAAUGGUUCGAAUUAUCAUAUUUGGAAAGAGAAGAUGGAAGAUCUUUUAUAUGUUAAAGAUUUUUAUUUUCCUAUAUUUGCUGAGGAGAAACCAGAGAAUAAAACUGAUGCUGAAUGGUCUAUAUUUCAUUGUCAAGUGUGUGGUUAUAUUAGGCAGUAGGUAGAUGAUAAUGUUUUGAACCAUAUUAUUGAGGAAACACAUGCACACAGUUUAUGGGAUAAGCUCGAACAGUUAUAUGCUCAAUAGAUUGGGAAUAAUAAGUUAUUUUUGAUAAAACAAAUGAUGGCUCUGAGAUAUCAUGAUGGUACUCGUUUGAUUGAUCAUUUAAAUUCUUUUCAAGGAAUAUAAAUCAGUUGGCUGCGAUGGGAAUCAAGUUUGAUGAUAAGAUACAAGCACUAUGAUUGCUUGGUACUUUGCCGGACUCCUAGGAGACAUUCCAAACAUCUUUGUCUAAUUCUGCCCCCAAACGGUACGAUUACCAUGGAUUUGGCCAAGAGUAGUAUUUUGAAUGAAGAGAUGAGAAGGAAGAUACAAGGAUCGUCCUCUUCACAUUCUGAUGCCUUAGUUGUUGAGAAAAGGGGGAGAAGUGAAUCUCGAGGUUCGAGAAAUAGAGAUAAAAUUCGAGAUAAAAGCAGAGGUAAGUAUAAUAAAUUUGCUAAUGUUGAGUGCCAUUAUUGUCAUCGGAAUGGACAUAUUCAGAGGUUUUGUCGCUAGUUAAAAAUGGAUAAACAAAAGGAGAAAGGUAAAGAAAAGACAAGUGAUAAUGACAGUGAUGACAAUCGUGUCGCUGCACUUAAAGAAGAUUUUCUCACUAUUUUUUAUGGUGAUGUGGUGAAUUUUGUAUCUCAUGAGACUAGUUGGGUAAUUGAUAGUGAUGCAUCCGUUCAUGCUACAUCUCGUAGGGAUUUCUUUACAUCAUACAGGUCAGGUGACUUCAUAUUUAUGAAGAUGGGAAACAAUGGACUAGCUCAAGCUGUAGGCAUCGGUGAUAUGUGCCUAGAAACUAGCAAUGACACAAGGUUAGUAUUGAAUAAUAUUAAGCAUAUACCUGAUAUCCACUUGAAUUUGAUUUCUACAAGCAAGUUGGAUGAUGAGGGAUAUUGCAGCACCUUCAGUAAUGGUCAAUGAAAACUCACCAAAGGUUCUCUUGUUGUGGCUAGAGGUGAAAAAUAUUCUUCGUUGUACAUUAUGCAGGCAAAGUUAUCCACAGACAAAAUUAAUGCAGUAGACAACGAAGAUGCAGCUGAAUUAUGGCAUAAGAGGCUCAGUCACAUCAGUGAGAAGGGUUUGUCAAUAUUGGCCAAGAAGAAGCUCCUUUCAGGAUUGAAAAGUUCAGCGCUAAAGAAGUGUGCUCACUGUUUAGCAGGAAAACAUAACAGAGUUGCAUUUAAAAGCUCCCCUCCUUUAAGAAAGUCAGGUAUACUAGAAUUAGUGUAUUAUGAUGUUUGCGGUCCUAUGAAAACAAAAUCACUUUGUGGCUCUCUUUAUUUUGUUACCUUCGUAGAUGAUUUUUCAAGGAAAAUUUGGAUUUAUGCCUUGAAAACUAAAGAUCAAGUGUUAUAUGCUUUUAAGCAAUUUUAGGCUUCAAUUCAGAGACAGACUGGAAAGAAAUUGAAAUGCAUCAGAACUAAUAAUAGGAGAGUGUAUAUUGGACCUUUUAAUGAAUAUUGCAGACAACAAGGUAUUCGACAUCAAAAGACACCUCCCAAGACGCCUCAGUUAAAUGGCUUAGCUAAGAGAAUGAACAUAACACUGGUUGAAAGGAUAAGAUGCUUACUUUCACAGUCAAAGCUACGUGGAUCUUAAGUACAGUUGUGCAUGUAUUAAAUCUUACUCCAUGCGUUCCUUUAGAGUUUGAUAUUCAUAAUAGAGUUUGGACAGACAAAGAUGUUUCUUAUGAUUAUUUGCAUGUCUUUGGGUGCAAAGCAUUUGUGCAUAUUCCCAAAGAUGAGAGGUCUAAACUUGAUGUGAAAACACGACAGUGCAUAUUUAUUGGUUAUGGACAGAAUAUGCUUGGCUACAAAUUUUAUGAUCCGCUUGAAAAGAAAAUUGUAAGAAGCAGAGACAUUGUGUUUUUGGAAUAUCAAACAAUAGAGGAUAUUGAGAAAGCAUAGAUGAUUUCAGCACCACAAGUUAGUGAUAAUCUGGUUGAUUUAGAUCCGGUUCCUCUUACAAAUAUUCCUACACAGUUGAUGAAGAGCAGCAGGAAGUCAAUGUUCCAAAUAACGCACAUGUUCCUGAACAUGUUGAAAUAGAUAAUACUAUUCCUGAACCAGAGGCUCAAUUAGAUGUUCCACUGGAUGUUCUAGUCCGAAGAUUUGUUAGAGACCAACGACCUUUCACCAGGUAUUCUGAGGAUGAGUAUGUAUUAUUGACUGAUGUAGAUGAACCAGAGUGCUAUGCAAAAGCAAUAGAAGAUGAGUACAAAAACAAUUGGUUCAAUGCUAUGCGAGAUGAGAUGCAGUCACUUUAUGAUAAUCAAAAUUUUGAGUUAGUGAAGUUAUUUAAAGGUAAAAGAGCUUUGAAGAACAAGUGGGUAUAUAGGUUGAAGCAAGAUGAACAUACUUUACAACUACGGUACAAAGCUAGAUUGGUUGUUAAGGGAUUCGGUCAUAGAAAGGGUAUUGAUUUUGAUGAUAUAUUUUCUCCGGUAGUAAAAAUGUCUUCUAUCCGUGCGGUACUAGGCUUGGCAACUAACCUAGAUUUGGAAAUUGAACAAAUUGAUGUUAAAACAGCCUUCCUACAUGGUGACUUGGAGGAAGAGAUAUACAUGGAACAACCCGAGGGUUUUAAAGUGAAAGGGAAAGAGGAUUAUGUGUGAAAAUUGAAUAAAGGUCUCUGUAGCCUAAAACAAGUACCAAGGCAGUGGUAUAAGAAAUUUGUGUCAGUUAUGACAAAACAGGGCUAUAAGAAGACUUCCUCAGAUAACUGUGUGUUUGUUGAAAAAUUUUCUGAUGAUGACUUUAUUAUUCUCUUGCUUUAUGUUGAUGAUAUGCUAAUUAUUGGCAGGAAUGCUUCAAGAAUUGAGUUAUUGAAGAAACAGUUGAGCAAGUCUUUUGCCAUGAAAGACUUGAGCUCGGCGAAGCAGAUCCUUGGCAUUAGAAUUACCCGAGAUAGAGAUGCUAAGAAGUUAUUUUUGUCGCAAGAGAAAUAUAUCGAGAAGAUCCUUCAGAAAUUUUACAUGGACAAGACUAAAGUGAUUAGUACUCCUCUUGCUACCCACUUUAAGUUAAAUAUGAAGCAAAGUCCUACGACUGAUAAAUAAAAGAAAGAUAUGGAAAGUGUUCCAUAUGCCUCAGUUGUAGGAAGCUUAAUGUAUGCGAUGGUAUGUACACGCCCAGACUUGGCGCACACAGUUGGCAUUGUUAGUCGCUAUUUGUCAAAUCUAGGCAAAGAACACUGGAAUGCAGUGAAGUGGAUUAUGAGGUAUCUUCGGGGAACUUCAAAUUUGAAACUCAGUUUCGGGACCGGGAAGCUUGAGUUAGUUGGAUACACAGAUUCUGACUUGGCAGGAGAUAUUGAUACUCGUAAAUCUACUUCUGGUUAUUUGAUUUCUUUUGCGAGUGGAGCUGUGUCAUGGAAGUCAAGAUUGCAGAAGUAUGUUGCACUUUCUACAAUCGAAGCUAAAUUUAUUGCAGCGACUGAAGCUAGUAAAGAAAUGCCAUGAAUGAAGAAGUUCUUAGAAGAACUUGGGUUCAAGCAAAAGAGGUAUGUGCUAUUUUGUGAUAAUCAAAGCGCAAUUCAUCUUGGUAAGAAUUCAUCUUUCAUUCUAGAUCGAAACAUAUUGAUGUUAGAUAUCAUUGGAUAAGGAAUGUUCUAGAUGAAAAGUUAUUGGAACUUGAAAAAAUUCAUACGGAUCAUACUGGCUCUGAUAUUAUGACAAAGACUCUACCAAAAAAGAAACUUGAACAUUGCCAAUUAAUAGCAAGGAUGGUGAAUCGCUCCACAUAUGUCGUGAGGGGGAGAUUUGUUAGCUGGGUUCACUCCUAUGUGGAGGAGGCCCAAUGAGUUGCAAGUCCAAAAAGGGCUUGAGCCCAUAUGAUAAGUUAUACGAGGAAAUAGGAUUUCUCACUAUCUAUAUAAAGAGGUAGCCACAAAAAAGGAAAAGAAAAAGAGAAAGCAUAAAAUCUAGGGUUUGGGGCAAUAUCUAAUUUACAUCAAGCUGGCGUCGGAGGUCGAUUCGUGGUCCGAUUGAGCUGAAAUUUUGUCAGCAUGUUCGUGGCACAAGUUUAUCAAAUCUGAACCGUUUGAUUUUCGUUUGAAGCUCCCUAUAUCAGGUUUUUUGUGGAUUGAUCAGAACCUGCGUUUUUUGUCAGAUUUAUCAUUGAUCUCUUAUAAAGUUCAUGUGCAUUGCCAAGAAUUAUGUUCUUGAGAUAUUUGCUGCUAUGUACCUCUAGUAUUUGCUAGAGAAGAACAAUUUUGUUGAUAGUGAAGAAUUUGGGUGGACUCCGGUCCCGUGGUUUUUGAUCUCCUCACAUCGAUGAGGUUUUCCACGUAAAAAUUGUCUUGUGUUCACGUGUUUGGUAUUUAUUUUACUCUGCUAUAUCGAUUCCUAUUAGGUUUACACAAGAUUGAAGAUUAUUUUAUUCCGCUGCAUUGAUUUGAUAUUGUUCGAAUUAUUACCAUUCUCCCAUCACUGGGGUGCCAGCUGUCAAGUGCGACUUGUGAGAUUUUGGUGGAUGGCCUAUCUAGGGAAGGUAAAGUGGCUGAGGCAUGUGAAUUGUUGAUUGGUUUUUCAAGUAAAAGAGUGUUGCCCUGAGGAGUAUGAUUAUUUUGGCCUUGUGGAAGCUUUGUGCAGUUCAAGCAAUUCUCAUAGAGCAUUUGAUGUUAUUACUGAUCUGUGGAAGACGGGGAAUAUUCCAAGCUUGAUUGCUUGUACUGCUUUGGUGGAAGGAUUGAGGAAGCAGAAGACAAGGGAAGAAGCACUUGCUUUGAUGGAAAAUAUGCUUAAAGAAGGUAUUGUGCCAGACAUUGUGACGUUUAAUUGUUUGCUUGAGGAUCUUUCUGAUAUAGGGAAGACUGUGGAAGCAAACAAAUUGAGUUUGUUGGCGCAAAGCAAGGGUUUGGAACCAGAUGGCAUGACGUACAGGGUUCUGGUAUCUGGUUUUACGAGAGAAAGAAAGAGAAAGGAGGGCCAGAUUCUGGUAGAUGAAAUGUUAGACAAGGACUUUAUACCUGAUCUUGCAACGUACAAUAGAUUGAUUGAUGGACUUUCAAACUCAAAAAUUACUUCUAGGAAGAAAGGUUGAAGAUGGGUUAGGAUCUUAUUUUCAACUUGGUUUCUUGAAUGCUGGCAUCUGUUUGCAAACACCCUCAUGCUUUGUGCUUGGUUUGCCAAUCAGUUCUAUCACUUUGGGACAAAGCGGGUUUAUGGCUAUGUUUCAGUUGGUUGAGGACAAUGUACAGCCUGGGAGCGAGCAGAACAGAUACUGGUACGUGCACAAAACAACGAGUGGAAAGGAACGAACUUCGCAUUGAACUGUAUGAAUCGUAAAGCCAGGAGAGCAGAUUGUGAUGCUCAGCAAGAGAUGAUGCGGAUAAGUAGUGCCCAGACGACAUCUAGGAGGUAUGAAUCAUGGUAACGGUGAUAAGCAUUAAUCCUAAGAUAUGAGAGAGUUGGAAAGUUUGAGUGACUGAGAAUAGUUUAUUGGGAUUGUAUUUGUAUAUAGACGUGAUUAAUAAUGAUACCGAUGAGCGUGUAUAUUAUAAAAGCUGCAGAAGAUGAACAUUGAAUUUUCUGGCAGAUCUCAAACUGAUAUCAAUUAAUCAAAUGAGGAAAAGCUUAGGGUAGAAAAUUCAUGCAAAUUCUGAAUUGGGCUUUGCUAUAUAUUAAGAAGCACCGACAUUCUCUGGAAGCCUCCAUGUCAUAUCUGACACUCCGACACGUGAUCAACUCUUCCCGACACACGAAUUCGAAAUUCUGACACGCAACUCCAACACGCACGGGGUCAAUUUUAAAAAAUUUCAAUACUUGAGGAGUCAAAAUAUAAAUAUAUGAAAAAAUAAUGAAAAUAACAAAAAUAAAGAGGAAAUAAGAAAAUUUGCACUCUCGAGUUUCUCAUUUAUAAAUUUUGACAUUCUCGUGAGUGACGAUGAACGCUCCUCUUCUCGCCGACAUCGCUCUGCUGCCCCCGCAGAGUUAAAGUUGGAAUUUUUUUUCUUCUUUCCACCUCUCGCAAGCGUCACUUGCGAGUUAUCUCUUUUGGUCACAUUUUCCAUAGCAAAUUUAGUUAUUUCCUUUUCUUUUGGUCGUACUCUAUUUUGUAGAGGAGCUCAAGCCAAUCUAUAUCAUGAACUCCAAACCUAGUCUGGGAUUAUAAGAAAUCUCAUUAAUUUCCAACAAGUGUGAGAAAACAGGACAUGUUCCUUCAAAUUUACUCUUUUGUGUUUGCAAUUUUUGAAUUUCUCCUUAAAUCUCUCUCAAAUUAAAACAAUAAAUGAUAUUAACAAAUAUUGGAUUAAUACUUUUAGUAUAAAUUAAGUAUAUGCUCUUAUUUAUUUAUUUAUUUUUGUAUUUAUAUAUAAUUUGUCGGAAUUCUCUACUUUUUUUUAUAAAUAACGUAUUGGCAUGUCAUAUCGUGUCGUGUUGUGUGUCGCGUAUCCGUGUCGGUGCUGCAUAUAUAACUUGUGUGAGAUGGACCCUAGCAAAGAGAUUUCUUAGGAUUGAAAGUAAUGCAGAAAAGAGAAGGCAAGAGCCAAAGCUGUUAAAACAAGGUAUAAAAUCAUGAACUAUCAGGUUGGCAAAGCUGUCAAGUACUCGAUAUUGAUAGAACAAAUUAGGCACUUUAUUGGUGGUGACACUGCCCUAAUAAUGCCCUUUUUCUGUGCUGCUCAUCGAUGAAUCGGUUGAUGAGAAAAAUAAUCCCCUAACUUCACAAAUUCGGUAAGACAAAAACUCCACGAGUGGCUCAAAUAUAAGAUUGUUUGAACUUGAUGAUAUAAUCAGUAUGCCUUAUCCAUGCAUACAUAUGUUUCUUUGUUCAGUGGGUGCAAGUGCUGCCAUUAAACUUUAGUUUUACAUUUUAUUAAAUGUAACACCAUAAAAAAGUUUUAUCUUUCUGAUAAGCUCUGGACCCUCUAGAUUACCAAAUUAAGACGACUCGUUUCAACUUUUUAACAGAGGAUAAAUUCAAAUCACAGCAAUAGCUUAGGAUUUUUUUUAUAAGACAAAAAUUAGUAUUUUGGAUUUUUGUUAGGCUAAAAUUUUGGAGUAAACGUAUCAUGAGAGCACAAUUUUUUUUUUUUUUUGGGGGGAGGGGGGGUUGGGUUUUGAGACGAAAAUUAGUUUGAGGUACAUGUAUCAUAGGAUACUAAUUUGGGAUUUUUAAUCAUAUUAACCCUUGGCAUAAUGAUAUAUACAUAUAUAUAUAUAUAUAUGUAUAUAUGUAUGUAUGUAUGUAUGUAUGUAUGUAAUUUUGGAUAUCAAACACCAAAUUUAUCCUUAUGAUUUCUUAAAGUAAAUCUACAUAACAAACAUCACUUCAUAUCACAAACUGUCAUAAUCAAGUACAUGCAUAGGAUCUGAGGCAUGCUCAAAUCAUUACAAUAGAUAGGGAUAACAUUAGUGAAUCACAUGAUAGUAUAACAACAACGAACUCACUACAUAGCUUCAAGGAGUAGGAGUGGAAAUAGACAUGUCUUUCGGAAUUGUGGGAACGAAUGGUAGCGUUGGCUUAGGGAAAUAAGGGAGAUGAGGUAGUUUGGGCACUUUUGGUAAUUAUGGAUUUGGUAUUGCUGGUAAUUCUGGCUUGGGCAAUUCAGGAAGCGACGGCAAUUCAACUUUUGGCAAAGAUUGCAAUUCAAGCUUUGGCAGUUCAGGGAGCGGCGGCAAUUCGGCUUUUGGCAAAGAUGGCAAUUCUGGCUUAGGCAGGCUCACAAUGUCAGGAAGAUGAGGCAAUUCGGGUUUGGGCAGUUCAGGCACUUCUGGUAAUUCUAGCUUCGGUAUUGUUGGUAAUUCAGGCUUUGGAAGUUCAGGAACCGAUGGCAAUUCAACUUUUGGCAAAAAUGGCAAUUCUGGCUUGGGUAGGCUCGGAAUGUCGGGUAGGUGAGGUAAUUCAGGCUUAGGUAAUUCAGGCACUUCAGGCAAUUCUGGCUUGGGCAAGCUCACAAUGUCAGGAAGAUGAGGCAAUUCAGGUUUGGGCAGUUUAGGCACUUCUGGUAUUUCUGGCUUCGGUAUUGUUGGUAAUUCAGGCUUUGGAAGUUCAGGAACCGACGGCAAUUCAACUUUUGGCAAAGCUGGCAAUUCUGGCUUGGGUAGGCUCGGAAUGUCGGGAAGGUGAGGCAAUUCGGGCUUAGGUAAUUCAGGCACUUCAGGCAAUUCUGGCUUGGGCAGGCUCACAAUGUCAGGAAGAUGAGGCAUUUCAGGUUUGGGCAGUUCAGGCACUUCUGGUAAUUCUGGCUUCGGUAUUGUUGGUAAUUCAGGCUUUGGAAGUUCAGGAACCGACGGCAAUUCAACUUUUGGCAAAGAUGGCAAUUCUGGCUUGGGUAGGCUCGGAAUGUCGGGAAUGUGAGGCAAUUCGGGCUUAGGUAAUUCAGGUACUUCAGGCAAUUCUGGCUUGGGCAGGCUCACAAUGUCAGGAAGAUGAGGCAUUUCAGGUUUGGGCAGUUCAGGCACUUCUGGUAAUUCUGGCUUCGGUAUUGUUGGU
rnacentral:lncRNA from 1 species